rnacentral:lncRNA from 1 species
ACACAAUACUCCAUAUUGCAAGUGAAUUCGGUAAAAUAGAGUGUGUGAAUUGGAUCCUUGAUUUGCCUUCAUCUUCAUCUCUACUGCAACGCCCUAAUUUGAAUGAGGACACUCCCCUUCACCUUGCAGCAAGGCAAGGGCAUUUGGAGGUCGUGGAAGCUCUUAUAAAUGCUGCAAGAGAACCUACCCUAGAUAUUGAAACUGGGCCUGGACCACAUAAGGUUAUGCUGAGGAUGAAAAAUAAGGGGAAAGACACAGCCUUGCAUGAGGCAGUGCGAUAUAGGAAUUAUGGGGUGGUGAUGUUAUUGAUUGAGGAAGACCCCGAUUUUACCUAUGGUGCUAAUGAUUCAGGUAUCACUCCUCUUUACAUGGCUGUGGAGGGAGGAUUUACAGCCGCGGUGAAACUAAUCAUUGAGAAAAGUAGUACUUCGCCUUCUUACAAUGGCUUAAUGGGUAGAACUGCCUUGCACGCUGCUGUAAUAUGCAAUGACAUAGGUAGUAUGCUCACAACACUAAUGAUUAUGUUGUUUAUUUUGUUCAUUUGCUUAAUUUUCUUAAACUUUUUUUCCUUUCUCUAUUAAUCAGAAAUGACAAAGACAAUACUGGAAUGGAAGCCAGAUCUCACCAAAGAAGUAGAUAAGAAUGGAUGGUCUCCACUUCACUAUGCUGCAGAGAGAGGUUGUGAUCCAGAAAUAGUGAGGCUAUUGCUAGAAAAAUCAGAAAAGAGUGUAGCCUACCUUAGGAGCAAAGAUGGGAAGAAGACUGCCCUUCAUAUUGCAUCUUUCCACCAUCAUACAAAAAUAGUAGAGAAGAUCCUAUCUCACUCUCCUGGUUGUCGGGAGCAGGUUGAUGAUAAGGGCAAUAAUAUUUUUCACUUUGCCAUGAUGAAAGAGGGAGACGAUGAUUUUAACCCUAGUAGUUACUUCUUCAAUUAUUGGUUAAGGUCGAGAGGACUUGUAAAUGAGAAAAAUGCUCAAGGAAACACACCCAUCCACCUGCUCUCUCUUAAUCAAAUUUUAGAUUUUCGGUUUGUAUGGAAUUAUAAAGUGGAUAAGAAGGCGUACAACAAUGAAGACUUGACAGCUUAUGACAUAAUUUUGAGGGACAAAGAGGACAUUUCCGAGGAAAAGGUAAGACUCCCACAUAACUUCAAUUAUAUGUUUAUUGGCAAAUGCUAGUUUAAUUUACCCCGUUUCUCAUUUCUUUGAGCUGUGUUAUGUUUUGUUAUUUUUGGUAUGUUUGGAUUCCUUCAACCUAAACUUACCAUCCUUUCAGUCAUAGCCAAUCGAUUCAUGUUGGGAAUAAGAUCCAUCGCAUAAGCGUUAGCUAGUUUCUUAUUUUCUUGUCUCCAAAGUUUCAGGAUGGGAUAAUAGAGAAGGAAAAGAAAGAAAUAGAGGAAAAAAAUUACAAAAUGUUUAUUUCUUUUCAUUGUUCAUUGAGAAAUUAAGCAAAAGAAAUUUAAAUUUAAGAGGAAUGUACUUAGCAUAAACUUUUUUUUUUCAUAAAAAAAAAAGGGAAAUGAGAAAAAAAAUUGUUAGUAUCUUUUAUUUAGUAAUUUUUUUCUAAUCAUUUUUUCACUUGUAUCCAAAUGUUGAAAAAAGAAAAAAAAAACCAUCUUUCUUAAUUUUUUUUUUCCAUUACUUUCCAAAAUCAAAUGUAGUUUAAGAUUAAUUUGAGGAAAAGAAAAGGAAAAAGAGAAGAAAAUAAAAAGAUAAUAACAAUUUAUAAAAUUUUCUUUUAUUUUAUUGUUCAUAAAAAAAUUGAGAAAAAAAUUUAAAUUGUUGAGAAAUGCACUCUUUCCAAAUUUUUUCCAAUUUUUCUAAGGAAAAUAUUUUAUUUUUUCCAUUUUAUUUUAUUUUUUUAUAUUUCAUGAAUUCUUCUCAUACUAUAUUUAGUUUAUGAAAAACACUAAGGCUCUAUUUAUUUCAUUGUAAUUUUUUUUUCUAUUUUCUUUUCUUAAAAUUCUCCCUUAUGGUUUCUUUAAGAAAUAAACAUAGCCUUAUAAUUUGUUUUAGCUUUUUCUUUUUUUAUGACUAAAAAUAGUUUUAAGAUUUCUCAAGAACAUCAAGAAAACAUUUUUUCUUUUCCACAUUUUAAUUAUUUUUACCACAUUUUAAAGCAGUAGAAGGUGAAUAAGAUAAAGAGUUAAUAAAAUUUUAUUUUGCCUUUUCUUUUUCUUUUUAUCCUCAUGGAAUUAUUACCUAUACCUCCUAGAUGCAAAAAUAUGGUAAAACUAAAGGACGAUUCUUUUGUUUAUCUUUGUUGUUGAGAUCAUUGCAAAACAUGCGUUCCAAAACUUAUGAGGGUUAAAAAAUAAAAAUAAUUAAAAAUGAAAGGAAAGUUAGAACAUUUUUCCUUGUUUCUAAAUUAAUUGGAUUUAUUGAAUAAUUUAUGUUGAUGUUCAGAUUAAAAUGAAUUGGCACUCAUCAUCCUAUUUUUAUUAAGAAGUUUAGAUUAACCCCAAAUCUCUAGGAAUAAAUAAGCUUGAUUUGAUGUAUUUAAUUAAAGGUUGGUUAAGUUUGAUUGAUUUAUCACUUGUAUCAGAUUUUCAUUCAGCUUGUUUACCCACCAACGAGUGACUGAAUGUGAAAAAAGUGGAUUCAUCAAUUGAAUUAAAUUUAAAUGUUCCUCACAUCUGAUUUCAGGAUCGCAUCCAAUCUUGGUUGGAGGCUGUUACGACUGGACGUAUUUCUUCGUUUUGGGAGAAGGAAACUAAGAGACAGGAGAUAGAGCAAGAAAGGAAAGAAUACAUCUCUCAAUUACAAAAACAAGGGGAAACCCAUUUGAUAGUUUCUGCGCUUAUAACAACAGUAACUUUUGCUGCGGGUUUCACCUUGCCCGGUGGUUACAAAGAGGAUGAUGGCCAGGCAAUUUUAUCAAAGAAAGCAGCCUUUAGAGCAUUUGUUGUGACGGAUACCAUAGCCAUGGUAUCUUCACUAUGCGCCGUAUUUCUUCACUUUUUGAUGACCCUGCACAAACGUGGGAAGUUCCUUGAAAAACAUUUACUUUGGGCCUUUAGUUUGACCAUGGUUGGGAUGGGAGCAAUGGCCAUCGCUUUCGCAACCGGCUUGUACGCUGUUUUACCGCAUUCCUCGGGCCUUUCAGUUCUCACUUGCAUCCUCUGCUCUUGCUUUUUCCUCUCCAUUGCAGUUGAAUAUUGUAAAUUUUGGAGAGGUACGAUUUCGGAAUGGAUGUUUGGAUGAGCUAUUUUCUGAGAGGAGAGAGAGAACCGGGUCUGAGCUAACUGAUAUCCGAAGCAAGGAAAGCUGAAAGUAGGGAAUCAAAAUGUACUCAUUUGAAUGGGAAUUAUAUUUUAAAUCUGGGUGGAGUAUUGAACUCAUUUGUCAAUGGAUACAAUUGUGAAUACGAAUAAUGUUAGUAUUGGAAUUCAACGAGAUUUUUUAAUCUACACUAUGCAAUAUUUUAUGAAUUGGGGUUGGACUGGGCUGGCCCAACCAGGAAAUAUCUUCCGCGUUCACAAUUUUUAUAAGUUUAUAUUGAUGAAUGAUGAUGUCAAUUUUUAAUUAUUUUUUUCUAUUAUUGAUUCACAUCACUAAAAUCAAAUUUGUUAUAAACUGUUUUUGAUAAAUUUAUAUUAAUGAUAUCAUUUUUUUUUAUAAACUGUUUUUUCCAUUCAAUUAAAAUUAUUAUUUUUUUGUAUAAUUUCAUUAUGUAUAAAUUAUAUUUGAUGCAUUCAUUUUUUUUUUUUUUUUUUGUGAACUGAUUUUUUAUCCAUGGAUGUCAGUGUAUAAGAUUGGCAGUCAGAAUUUAAUUUCAUGAAUCAAUUCUUAUAAAAUUGAUACUACUAAAGUUAGAAUUGAUUAUUAUGAUCUUUAUUUUAUUUUUAAAAUUGAUUCUAAUAAAAUUGAGAUUAAAAAAUUAGAACUUUAUUCUGUAAAUUAUUUUUUAUAAAAUUUGAAGUGUUGUCUUGGAUUAUAACAAAAGACUUUUUUGGGUGUCUAGCACUUGAAUUGAGAUUACCAUGGCUUAUUUGAGUGUCUAGUCAUUGCGCUGGGAGUGAUUUGAAACAUGAACCUCAUGAUGGAAAAGUAAGAGAUAAGCCACCGAGCAAUAUAUCACAUUACUAAAUAUUUCUGUAUAAUCCUAUAAUGAUUUUUUUCCAACGUUUAUUUUUAUAAUAAUAGGUAUGAAAUUAUAUAAAUUGAUUUUUAAAAUUUUAAAUUAAUAAAAUAUGUGGAUAUAUAGAUAAAAUUAAAUAUUAUAAUUUUUUUUAUCUUAAAUAUCUUUAAACUUAAAUAUUAUAUAUAUUAUAUUUAAUAAAAUUUAAAAUAUUAAUAUAUUUAUACUUAUUUUUAUGAUUCAAUUUAACAUAUUAUAUAUAAAAAAUAAAUUAUUAUUAAAUUUUUAAUUGUUUAUUUUAAAUUUUAUAUAAUAUAUAUAUUAUAUAUUUAUGAUAUAAUUGAUUUGAUCAUUAGUCAACCAUGAAUUUGACUAUUGAAUUAUGAAUUAGUGUCUUUUUUAAGUCAAUAAAUGGUUCAUUUCUAAAAACAUUGUUAACACUUUUUUAUCGGGUGAAUUAAUCAAGAAAUUUAUUCUUGGCUCUUACACUUUGACCUUUUUAAGGUAUUCAGUUUAUUUUUUUUUUUGGUACUUAAACCAUUAAUGUAUUUUUUUUCUUUUUUCUUUUUUUAAAAUAAUUAGUAAUUACUUCAAAUAAAUAAAUAAUAAUUUUCAAAUAAAAAUACAAAUAAAAAGGUGUGCAACCAUCUUUUGGGUGAAGGUUAAGUCACAUACUCACAUAUCAAAAAAGUAAACUCAAAUGUUAGUGCAUUGAAAACAUGUCAACUUAAUAUGCAAUCAAUGAAAAGAACAUUCUGUUAGACCUAAAAUCUAAAAAUCAAUAAUAUUAAUAGUAAAUCAAUUUUUAUAUUAAUAAAAAAGAACAUGGGUUAGAAAAAGUUUGAUUCGGAAUUUUGAGACAUAAAUGUGCUUCCAUAAGAGAAAAUAUGCCACUUCUACAUAGAGUUAAUUGAUCCUCUUCUACCAAAAUAUGAUAAUCUUGUUAUAUAAAUUUGACUUUAAUCAAAUAAGAUCAUUUCACACAAUAGUAGUUUUUUCUAUCAAUAACUUCACACAACUUAUCUAACUUAGAAGAAUCAAGUAAGAGCGACAAAUGUAGGUAUACUAGAAUCUCAUCUUCUUGUAAAAAAUCUCACCUAUUCUUCAUGUUUAGAAAAAGAUAAAGAUACAAAAUUAGUAAAAUAAUAAAAUAAGAAAAUAAAAUGAAUAAUUAUAAAUUUUAAAUUAAAUAUAACACUUUAACCAUUUUUUUUUGGUAUGGAUAAUUUUGUCUACUUCACGCUAAUUUGCUUUCAUUGUGCCUUGUUGCUGGUUUGAUUUUGUAUAAGAGUGAUACUAUCAUUUCAAAUAGAAGUUGAUAAUGAAUAUGCUUAGGGAUGAUAAUGGGUUAAGCUUAGAGGAUAAUCCGCCCCGCCCCGCCCCGCCGUACCCCGCCUCCCCCUUAUUGGAAUGGGUAUGGAAGGCUUUUAUUCAAGUUCGAGAUGGGUUUGGAGAAGCUUUUGAAUACUUGGAUCAGAUAUGGGACGGGUUUGGUUUUACUACGCCCUACCUCACCCUGCCGCGUUUACCAACAUAAUGCGUGCCCUCCACCAUAUACCAUAUUACACAUUCCUUAAAAAGUCAUGUGUAUAAAGUAUCUUUGAAACCUAGUUUUCCACUGCUUCUCUUACUCUUAUUCUGUGAAGCUCCCAAUGACGCUAUCAUGUGUACUGUUGAUGCUGUCCAACGAUGUUACCAUCAAGCUAUUCUUCUGCAUCCCACAAGCUUCGUCACAAAAGAAGACAUCAUCUUCUAGACACACCACUGCAAACCCUAGAUGCACUUCUAGUGUUGAUCUCUGAAGCUCCAUUUUUGAGAAUCGUAGAAAAAAAAUUGAUGGGAUUUGAUUGGUUAACAAGAAAAUUGAAGGGAAAAGAAUUGUAUGUUGGGAUUGUGGGAUGGGUUGUUUUAAUUUUGCAUAUUCCUUUCUGGCUUGUUUUACCAUUUUUCCCAAACUGCACCUGGUCAUUAAAGAGAAUUGUUCAAUACUUCAACUAAAUCUCUCUAUUUUUUUUUUCCAAAUAGAUCUUACAUGUCAAAUGAUAAAAAUACUUUCUUCUUCCACCUCCCAACCCUCCUCAUUCAUCCAAGCAACCCUAUUUCAUCUCUUUUUUAUCCUCUUUUCUUUUCUUUCCUUCAUUUUCUUUAAUCUCCAUCUUUUAUUUCCUUUCAUCUUCUUUCCCAAAGUUGUUAUAACAGUAGUAGUUUUUCAGCUCAGCACACUCCAUGUAUUUUUUUCUCAUUUCCAAAUAAAUAAUUUGUAUAAAAUUAUGUAAUGUAAGUUGUAGAUCUUUUAUAUUUUAAAAAAAUUUCCAAUAAUUUCAAUCUCAAACACUUUAAUAUAAUAAAAUAAUAAAUCAUAUUUUAUAUGCUCAAGAUGAAGUUUAAAUAAAACUUGUUUUAAUUGGUGAGAGUAUGUGUGCAGGCGUGUUGUGCAAGUAUGUGUGCAGGCGUGUUGUGCAAAAACUCCUAUAUAUAUAUAUGUAAGGGAAAUUUGGAACUUUCAAACAUCGCAUUCUCCAUAAAAAUUUCUUACUUUUAUUGAGCAAAAAGGAAAAAAAAAAAUGGUGUGCAUGGCCAUGCUUAAUAUUAAUUUCGUUUUAAUUGUUUCUUUACAUUUUUCUAAUUUUCAUAUUUGUUCACUUCUUAGCACCUUAUCAUGAUUAGAAAAGAAGUAAAAUUAAUGAACAUUUACCAAAACUCUUGCAAUUGUUUACGUCUUAGACUUCAGUAUUGCUCAUCCAUUCUCAGUAGUUAAGAAUGUAAUAGCAAAGGUUAGAACUGACCCUUUCGGUCUACAUGAUGAUAUCUAGGAAACACCAUGACCUGGGAAGAUACAACGCAUCCCAUAUGGUUGUACGGUUACUGCAGUUUUCCUCCAAGACAUGCAGUCUUGAAGGCUACAAUAGUAAGGAAAUCUCAGAGCUUAUUGGAAGCAGAGGGGUGGAAACUUGUGAAGAUAGGCUCCUUAGUAUUCAUAUUUACGGACAAAGUUUCCCAUUCCAAGACAUGCUGAGUGCUGUUUGCUUUUAUCAAUUUGCUAUUGCUUAUCAAAGAUCAAAGACUGUUGUUGCCAUUGUUUCUUUAGUGCAUUACCAUAAACCAUCAAAAACAGGAAGAUGUAUUUUCUUUUCAAAAAUUUAGGCCACCAUCAGCCACAGCAGUCCAAAGCUCCAUCACAUCCUUCCUUGCACGGAACAACAAAAAGCAAGCUCCAUCAUAUCCUUGCUUGCAUGGAACAAUAAGCAACAUUUUCAUAAUUGGUGAUUGAACCAAAAUAGUUGUCAAUUCAAUGAUCGGACUGAUGGUUGAAUUGUGACUAUAGUCAAACUGAUGAUGUUAUAAAUAUAUAAUUUAUGUAUUAUUAAAAUUAAAAAUAAUUAUAUGAAAUUUGAAGAAAUUUAAAAUUUAAAAAUUAUAAAUAAGAUGUGUAAAUAAAAUUAAUGCAAUGAAAGUUUAGAUGGAUGCAUUAACAUUUCCCCAAAACUAAUCUUUAAACUAUUUCCAACUUCUAAUGUGAUGAUAAUUUCUUGUCCUUUAAGAAAAUCUUCUUAAAGGGUUUUUUUCUUAAUUUAAUGAGCAUUGUAUUCUUUUCUUCUACAAACUUUAGUCUUCUUAAUUUAUGGAUGAAUUUCUUGAUGGAUAAUAUUUUUGUGUUUUUUUCCUCGGAGUACAUGAAAUUGAAUCCCCACCCAAGGAAGGUCCGUUCCCAGAAUCCAAGCCUCGAGAAAAACACUCUCUCGCACCACUGGGUUUACUCUAACCCCUUUGGCAAGGCCAAGUCCAUCUAACCCCUUUCUGAUUAGGAUUUCUGUGGCUCAAGGAGGUUGAUUUCCUCCUUAUCUUGAUUGAAUGGCUCCAUGAAUGGUUUGAGACGAUGGCCAUUGACUUUAAAGGUGUCUAUUGUUGGAAUUCAGUAAUUCCACCAUUCCAUUGAGAUGCACUUGGUGAAUAAUGAAAGAGUCUAUCCACCUUGACUUCAGCUUCCCAGGAAAGAUAUGGAGCCUAGAGUCAUAGAGUAAGACUCUUUGUCAUUUCCGGAAUUCUUUGUUGGAGAUUAACUGAUCAUGCCACCUCUUCAUCCUCUGUUUUGCAACUUUGGAAUUGAUGUAGGCAUCAUUUCUUAAUUCCUCCAUCUGAUAAGGUCUAAGCACCUCUUUGCCUUGGCUCUGAUCAAGUCCAUGUUUUUCAAGAAAGUAAUACACAGAGCUUUGCUCUGCCUUAUCUUCUCAUUUUGUUUUCUCGUUAUUUUGAUUUCUAGCAAAUCAAACUCUGAGGAUGUUUUCCUAGAAGAUGAGUGGCUAGGCUUUUUGUUUCUUGGAGUGAAGGAAGCUAGGUAAGGUUCCAGAUGCAAAAUUUGAAGUUUUGUUGUUUCGGUUUUUAAUGAAGAGAAAGUGUGAUCCGUUAAUGGUUUUUAUCUUUUUAGUUAACUUAAAAUCCCUUAAAAUCACUUGGUCCAACACUUGGUAAGGCAAGUGGUCUCCGUCCAUUGAGAUACACUAGUUUAUCUCUUGCAAGCCUCUAAGAGGUGGUUUAAAUGUAGGAUUAUCUAGAAUAGCCAACACUUGGUAAGUUUGUGGACUCCUAGGAGACAUCCAUUAGUUAUCUCUUGUGAGCUUUUGACGGGUAAUCCAAGGUUAAAGAUCACCUUAAAUGACCAAUACUAGGUGAGAGGUAUGAACCAUUGCAAGAUGAUUCAGGGAUUUAGUGUUUGAACCCAUUAAGGGCAAACAUCUGUACCUCACCGGUUUGAGAAAUAACUAUAUGUUAGAUCCCCAAUACGAGGAAAAGAUUCAAGUGACCAGAACUCCCUUUUUGUAUGACGAAUCUGAGCCUAGUGAUAUAAAACUCCAAGAAACACUUUUCUUUGUAAGUAAUUUCCGUUACUUUAUUAUUGGUUUCACUUAAAACCAACAUUUUCAAACAUAUUUAUGUUUUCUUUUAAAGCUAACCUUGAAAAGAAAAAACACUAAUUUAGUUUUUGAACUAAUAUUAGUUGUAAUUUGAAAACCCAUCCCUGUGGACGAUCUUAGAGUCACUAUGCUAUGCUUGCUAAUGCUACCCUAGUAUAUGGUGAAAUAGGUUUAUAAAUUUUGUUGAUCACUCCCGUCUAAGGACAGAAAUCAGAGUACAUCAAUUGAUUGAACACCAAUUUUUUCCACUUUUUCUAAGGAAAAUAUUUUAUUUUUUCCAUUUUUUUUUUAUAUUUCAUGAAUUCUUCUCAUACUAUAUUUAGUUCAUGAAAAACACUAAGGCUAUGCUUAUUUCAUUGUAUUUUUUUUUUCUAUUUUCUUCUCUUAAAAUUCUCCCUUAUGGUUUCUUUAAGAAAUAAACAUAGCCUUAUAAUUUGUUUUCGCUUUUUCUUUUUUUAUGACUAAAAUAGUUUUAAGAUUUCUCAAGAACCAAACAUAACAUCAAGAAAACAUUUUUUCUUUUCCACAUUUUAAUUAUUUUUACCACAUUUUAAAGCAGUAGAAGGUGAAUAGGAUAAAGAGUUAAUAAAAUUUUAUUUUGCCUUUUCUUUUUCUUUUUAUCCUCAUGGAAUUAUUACCUAUACCUCCUAGAUGAAAAAAUAUGGUAAAACUAAAGGACGAUUCUUUUGUUUAUCUUUGUUGUUGAGAUCAUUGCAAAACAUGCAUUCCAAAACUUAUAAGAGUUAAAAAAUAAAAAUAAUUAAAAAUGAAAGGAAAGUUAGAACAUUUUUCCUUGUUUCUAAAUUAAUUGGAUUUAUUGAAUAAUUAAAUGAAUUGGCACUCAUCAUCCUAUUUUUAUUAAGAAGUUUAGAUUAACCCCGAAUCUCUAGGAAUAAAUAAGCUUGAUUUGAUGUAUUUAAUUAAAGGUUGGUUAAGUUUGAUUGAUUUAUCACUUGUAUCAGAUUUCCAUUCAGCUGUUUACCCACCAUUGAGUGAAUGUGAAAAAAAUGGAUUCAUCAAUUGAAUUAAAUUUAAAUGUUCCUCACAUCUGAUUUCAGGAUGAGAUCCAAUUUUGGUUCGAGCUUGUCAUGCCUGAAACUCGUUCUGUGUUUAGGAAGAAGGUAACUAAGAGACGGGAGAGAAAGAAAGAAAGGAAAGAAUACAUUUCUCAAUUACAAAAACAAGGGGAAACCCAUUUGAUAGUUUCUGCGCUUAUAACAACAGUAACUUUUGCUGCGGGUUUCACCUUACCCGGUGGUUACAAAGAGGAUGAUGGCAAGGCAAUUUUAUCAAAGAAAGCAGCCUUUAGAGCAUUUGUUGUGACGGAUACCAUAGCCAUGGUAUCUUCACUAUGCGCCGUAUUUCUUCACUUUUUUAUGACCCUGCACAAACGUGGGAAGUUCCUUGAAAAACACUUACUUUGGGCCUUUAUUUUCACCAGGGUUGGGAUGGGAGCAAUGGCCAUCGCUUUCGCAACUGGCUUGUACGCUGUUUUACCGCAUUCAUCUGGCCUUUCAGUUCUCACUUGCAUCCUCUGCUCUUGCUUUUUCCUCUCCAUUGCAGUUGAAUAUUGUAAAUUUUGGAGAGGUACGAUUUCGGACAUGCUAGGCAAACUAAUCGCUGGAGAAGCUGAAUGGGGGGAAUAAAAAGAAAAGAAAAUGCAGAUGUGUAGAUGAGGGCUCCCAAAUCGAUCUUUGAAUGAGCUAUUUCAUUUUCUGAGAGGAGAGAGAACCGGCUCUGAGCUAACUGAUAUCGGAAGCAAGGAAAGCUGAAAGUCGGGAAUCAAAAUAUGCUCAUUUGAAUGGGAAUUAUAUUUUAAAUCUGGGUGGAGUAUUGAACUCAUUUGUCAAUGGAUACAAUUGUGAAUACCAAUAAUGUUAGUAUUGGAAUUCAACGAGAUUUUUUAUGAAUUGGGGUUGGACUGGGCCGGCCCAACCUGGAAAUAUCUUCCAAAUAGAUGUGGAAGGCAGAGCUGUAUAAGUUUGUAUUGAUGAAUGAUGAUGUCAAUUUUUAAUUUUUUUUUUCUAUUAUUGAUUCACAUCACUAAAAUCAAAUUUGUUAUAAACUGUUUUUGAUAAAUUUAUAUUAAUGAUAUCAUUUUAUUUUUUUUAUAAACUGUUUUUGCCAUUCAAUUAAAAUUAUUUUUUGUAUCAUUUCAUUAUGUAUAAGAUUGGCAGUCAGAAUUUAAUUUCAUGACUCAAUUCUUAUAAAAUUGAUAUUACUAAAGUUAGAAUUGAUUAUUAUCAGCUUAAUUUUAUUUUUAAAAUUGAGAUUAAAAAUAAAAAAUUUGGAUCUUUCUUAAUUCCUUCAAGACUAAUUUUCAUUCUUUUUUUCCCUUUUCUUUUUAAACUUUUCUUUUUCUGAAGAUUAUUUUCUCAAGUGAUGAUUUACUUCACUGCAUUGUCCUCGUUCCAUCAUCAUCAUUUUGGUGGUGGUGAUGGUUGUAAUGGUUGGAAAAUGAAUAGGCAAAUGGUUAUUCAACAAGAAAAUCCUCUCGGAAUUUAGUCUUUGAAUAUGAUUAGUUAUGUCCAAAAGCACAUGUUUGAGAACUAUUUGCUGAAAUUGACAUUUUCAACGAAUCUUGCACUUAAAAGUCCAUGUCAAAUUUCGUCUUACUUUUACAUGUAGUAGAAGUUGUCUCUGAGCCGUUGUAAAAGGAUGCCAAAUUCUUUGAGAAUUGGUUUCUUUAGAUUUCAAUUUCAGGAUUCCGAUCUAGAACUUCUACAUGAUUUUCUCAUAGCAUCCCUCUGAAAAUUGAGGAAAUGGGAAUUAAAAUGUAAGUUUGAACUAAAGAUUUGAGCUAUUCAAGAAUCAAACAUUGAGGCACUUGUUUAACUUUUGUCAGCGGUCAAUAUACUCUGUUUCGUGUCGAAGGAAGAGAUUACAUUUGGAUUUGGGUGCAUUGACAAGUCCCAGACUAUGUAUAUCAAUAUACUUUGGGUUCCAUGGGCCGCCUACAAAAAAGAAAUCAUAGGUUUUGGGAUAGAAUACCAAAGGUAAGUGCCAAAUGAAGUGUUUUUUUUUCCCUUCUUUAUUACAAAGAAGGUCAUGAUUUCUUUCUUAAAACAGGUUUGCAGGAAUGGCAAGGGGAAGGAGGUUGUGUCAGAUAGGGUAUGCAUUUUAGAGGUGCAAGUUAUUGAAGUUUUUGGGAUUUGACUCCUCUUUGUGACACUAUUAUUUCCCUCAGAUUGUUCUUUAGAUGCAUGCAAUGUCAACAGUUUCAAUAUGAAAUUCAUGGCUGAUAAAAGGCCCUCCCUUAUAUCGGCUGUGGAUUUUAAAGCCACAUGACAUGCACUCAUGCUGUGGCACGACCUGUCGAGAUAAUCGAGGCAAGGGAUACUUGAGUACAUUUUAAGAAAAUGGAAUUGUCUUACGCAAUUUGAUCUGUUCCAAAGGAUUUUAUAGGAAGGGAAGCCUGGAGUGGGAUCAAACCAUGGCUUAAAUCCUCUGCUCCCUCUUUCCUACACCAUUUACAAAGACAUUGGUCUGUGGAUGAUGUGGGUCUUGUUCUCUAGAUUGCCCAAAAGCUCAAAAUCCAACUCAAAACAAUUUACAUUAGAAAUCAACACCGGAAUGAGUCUUUUCAUGUUACUCUUUGUUUUAGUCACACACUCAUCUUACAUAGAAAGCUGUCACAACCCUCCCUGCAGAGUUACUCCCAGGUAGCAUUAAUUGCAUGUGGAAAAACCCAACCCACAUCCAAAAGUCUCCAGCGAUGAUUCAAAGGCCCACCCUGUUUACCAUAAAGCAAUUACGGUUAAGACUCUAGAUAUAGAAACCCUUGAUAAGUUUGUUAUGGUGGUAGUAGAAAGAGAAAUAAAGUUGAACGAAAUGAGCAGAGGCAUGGUCGAGAACAAUGUUUUUGAAACUGGAUUAUUUAUUGAAUUGAAAAAAUUACGGGUUUAUGGUUUAGUGGUCAAAUCGGUCAUUGAACCGAGUUUAAACCGGUGAGGUCAUAACUAUAUAAUUUAUAUAUUAAAAAAUAAAUUAAAAAAUUUUAAUGUAAAGAAAUAAAAUAUAAUAAUAUUUAUUUUUCACCUUUGAUAUUAUUAAACUUAAAUCAUGAAUAAAUAUAAAUGUAUUAAUAUUUUAUUUUAUUUAAAUAAAAUAUGUAUAAUCUUUAAAUGUGAAGAAAUAUAUUAAAAUAGAAGAAAAUUCUUUUAUUUAUAUUAUAUUAUUUUCUUAUAUUAAAAAAUUUAAAAUAAUUAUGUUGAUUUAGUUUAUUUUGAAAUUUUAAAUAACAACCAUUAGUAGUAAAGUGGUUAUAGUCCUGACAUGUGAAUUUUAUGGAUUUUUUAAAACUCAUCCCACAUAGGAAGUUGAUAAGGAUGAGAAUGCCUUUAACUGUCCAUUUCAUGAUAUAAUAAGCAUGCAAGAGGGCUCAAGACAGAUCCUUGUCCUGGUCUUAUUAAUUGGGUUGGGCUUCCACCCAAUCUUUUGUUGAGAAGUAAAAAAUGCCAACCUUGAACCAAUGGUUCAAAACUAGUUCAAUGUGUACUUUUGCCCAAAGGCUAUAGAUUGAACCGUGCCAAGCUUUGGUCAAUGGUUGGACCAAUCAAACUAGUUGGUCCAGUCGGAACUUUGUAUAUUUUCUCAAAGGUAGGGCCGCUUUGGGUAUUUGCAAGUAUUGUCUCAUCUAAAACUAAUGGUUAGAAACUCAAUAAAUAACUUGACUCUCUUUUUGUAUAUAUUAUUUUUUGAAAACUAUACUUGCACCUAAAUCAAAAUAUAUCAUCAUCAAUUAUACAAUAUCAUAUAUAUAUAUAUAUAUAUAUAUAUAUAUAUAUAUAUAUAUAUAUAUAUAUAUAUACAUAUUUAAUUGGACUUCUUAUUAUCUUAAUAUCAUAUAUUUAGAGCUCAUUUAAUUGUGUGAUUUAAAAAUAGUUUUUAGUUAUUAAAAAUAAAAAAUUGUUUUUAAUAUCAUUUGACGGUUGUUCUCUGAAAAUGAUUUUUAAAAAUAAAAUGAAAUAAAGAACAAUUUUUAGGAAACAAAUAAAGUUAUUUUCAUAAAUUUUAAAAAAUAAAAAUAAAAUAUGAGUUCGUUUAAUCAUGUUUUUUAAAAUUUGUUUUUAAGUUAAAGAAUAAAAAUAGUUUUUAAAAACAAAUUUAAAAAACAUGGUAAAAAAAGACUGUUAUACUCUCAUUCAAAUGAUCAAGAUUUUGACUUCAGUUUCAUAUGUUGGUAUAUUAAAAAAUUUCUAUAUUAAACAAUUUGGAUAUGAAUCAUAUGAUACUAUAAGUUGGUGCCAUGAAUGUUUCCUGAAAAACAAGAAAGGAAGAAGGGGGGAAGCCCGGAAAGGUGCGGUGGUGGGUGUGAUGAGAAAAGCGAUGAUAUGAUAUAAUUUUUUGUAUUGCAUCAAAGUUUUCAAUAAAGUUUUAAGCAACCAUGAGAGUUGUUCAUCAUGUACCUAACACUUUGGACGGACGAGAUGAUGGCACCUUUUUGACUUCUAUUUCAUGUCACGUGCCUCGAAUAAUGUUAAAAAGCAAAAAAAUUAAAUAUAUACAUAUUUUAUAUUAUUCCAUAAAGUUGUGUUGAAAAUAUCAAUAUAUGUUAUUUAAAUUAUUCCUUAUUUUAUAUUUUUCUAAAACUCAAUAAAUAAUUUUUUGUAAUGGUAUUUCUCAAAAAGUUUAAACUCCUUAAUUUCAAAUAUUAUUUUUCUAACCAUAAAUCAUCUUUGAAAUAAAUAUUUUAAAAAUGAUAGUUUGAUUUAUCAUUUAAAUGUAAGUGUUUUAUAUAAAUUAUUUUAAAUUAACAUAAAAACUUUUUAGUUAUUAUUUGUUAAAAUUUUCGUAUUCUUUCAAAAGAGUAAAAAGUUCAUGUUAUUAAUUGUAAUUUUUUUUUUUCCUAUUAUUGUGCUUUUUAUAUAAUAAUUUUUUAAAAUUGCAUGAAUAAAAAAAUAUUUAAAUAUAAAAUCUUAUAAAAUAAAAAUAAAAAUUUAUUAAACAACAAAUAUGAAUUUUUUUGCUUUUAUAUUCUUUAUUAUUUAAAGUUUGUUUAUAUAGUUAUUGCACCAACAUUGGCUGACCAUGGAUUGAGCAAAACAUUUCCAAUAACCACUCAAUUAAUAUAAAGGAAAAAGAAAUCUAAAGAAGAGAUAAGAGAAAAGACUGGAGCACAUCCUCUCCACCACAAAGCUAAUAAGCAUCUUAUUCAAACAUAAGUUUGUCUUAUCAUAUCCGACGUCAUCAUCCAACCAAGGAAAUACAUUAUUAUUAUUAUUUUUUUAUUAAAAAAAAUAGAAAUUAAAGAAGAGACAUAAGGAAAUCACAUUCUUUAAUAUUAUAUUAUUAUUUCUUUAAUAUUUUUUAGAAAUGAAAUAUAUUCUUAUUAUUUGAAAAAUGAAUUCAAUUGAGUCUAAAUUCUUAAAUUUAUAAAGAAAAAUAGUAUGAUAUUGGAUAGGUAUUAUAUCAAGCUAAAAAUUUGGAUUCUUAAAACAUAUGAUUAAGUUUGAACUUUUGAAUAAGGUGGCCAACAAAAAAAUCAUAUAUAAUAUUAAAAAAAAAUUGAAAUGAAACUACAAAACAAUUUAAUCAUGAUUAUUAUUUUUGUUUAUCAAUGUGAUGAUUACCAUUUUUUGAUGUGACGUGAAAUUUCAAUGGGAGAAUUAUGUUUUGACGGGCCAAUUUGGGAAUAAUAACAUUUUCGGAACCGAACUUUCCAUAAUGCAAGAUAUGUCCACUGUUUGGAAAAAUAUUAAAGGAAACAUGCAUUCUGGCCUGAGGUGUUAUUUCAUACCGAAAAUACCCCUCCAUUGUUCAUCGUCCCUGUGAAAGGUCCCGAUAUUUCCUACCAGCCCACGCAAGAUGCAAAAUCUGUCCGAUAUUUUUUUUUUUUUUUAAAAAAAAAUUUGCAGGCAAAGGUUGGAUUUUUCAGCAUGGCUCAAAAAUCGUGGAUUUAGGGUUUGUGAAAUUUAAAUCCAAUGGCCCAAAAUCAAAGAGACCCCUAGAUCAGAUCAAGAAAACACAUGGAGGAAAAAAAAAGCACUUUUUUUUUUGUUUUUCUUGGGGAUUUUGCAUGGAUUUUGUCGGAAAUCAAACGAGGAUGGAUUUUCUCGGAAAUCAAACGAGGAUGAACUUUCCCGGAAAUCGAAUGGGGGAUGGAUUUUCUUGGGAAUCAAACGGGGGUUGCAAAAAAAAAAAAUAAUAACUUAGAUUAGAUUAGUACCUGCGAGGAUUGAGAAUGGCAGAGGAAAAAAUAGGGCUUUUUUUAGGGAUUCUCUCGUCUGGAGGCCAACUUCAGAGAAGGGCCUCGGAAAUCAAACGAGGAUGGAUUUUCCCGAAAAUCGAAUGGGGGUGGAUCUUGGGAAUCAAACGGGGGUUGCAAAAAAAAUAAAUAAUAACUUAUUAGAUUGGUACCUGCGAGGAUUGAGAAUGGCAGAGGAAAAAAUAGGGCUUUUUUAGGGAUUCUCUCGUCUGGAGGCCAACUUCAGAAAAGGGCCUCGGAAAUCAAACGAGGAUGGAUUUUCCCGGAAAUCGAAUGGGGGUGGAUUUUCUUGGGAAUCAAACGGGGGUUGCAAAAAUAAUAAUAAUAACUUGAUUAGAUUAGUAUCUGCGAGGAUUGAGAAUGGCAGAGGAAAAAAUAGGGCUUUUUUAGGGAUUCUCUCGUCUGGAGGCCAACUUCAGAAAAGGGCUCCUUGAUGCCCGAGUGAGAGACGGUGUCGUGAGAGACGGUGGCUGCUGACAGGACAACUAAAGGGCAAUUUUGGAAUAGCAUUUUAAAACAGUAGAUAGUGCAUGUUUCCUUUAAUAUUUUUCCAAACAGUGGACAUAUCUUGGAUUAUGGAAAGUUGGGUUUCGAAAAUGUUAUUAUUCCCAAAUUGGCCCAUCAAAAUAUAAUUCUCCCAAUUUCAAUCCUUGCUCUCCACCACACAAGUUCACGGUAGAGGGGACCACCUUCUAAGCUAUACCUAAGAGGCACUUUAUUUAAUGGCAAAUCUAAUGAAUAAAAUUUUAGAUCAUCUCCGGAAGACUUUUGUUAUUUUUUAACUUCUAUCUUCCUUGCAGUUGUAGAAAACACAUCUUCUUUGGAUUAUCAUCUGGUAUCAUAGUCAAGUUGAUCAGAUGGUUAUCUCAAUCCAACCUACCGUCCCACUUUUUCAAGGAAAUGGAUAUGAUAGUUGGAGCAUAAAGAUGAGGACUCUUUUUAUCUCCGAAGAUCUGUGGGAGCUUGUGGAUAAGGGUUAUGCAGAAGAGGAAAUUCCAAGAGAUGCUAUGAGAGAUGUACGAAAGAAUGAUGCCAAGGCAUUGUUUUUUAUUCAACAAGCAAUCACAGACAGCAUUUUUCCUCAAAUUUCAAAGGCAACGAAGUCUAAGGAAGCAUGGGACACUUUGCAAACAAAAUAUCAAAGCACAAGCCUGGUAUUAGUUACAAUGUAUUGAAUUUUUAGAUUCAGUCAAAUAAAGUAAAAUAUCUAUGUUUCCAACUAAUUCGUAAGAUUAGAAUGUGUUGUUCUAAGAAGGGUUCUGACUACAGCUUUAAAUUAAUGGGUUGUUGGAUAAUUUAUUUAGGAGUUUAUUUGAGUUUGGUUGCUUAUUUAACGGCAAGUGUUCAACUCAAUUAGAUUUCUUAUCUUUCAUCUUGAACUUUUUUUAAGUGCUUUAUUAUUUUUUAACUUCUCUAUGGUAGGAAGGCAUCUUUUUCUUAUUAUUGUAAAUGAUAUAAUGACAUAAUAGAUCAUAUAUCAGAUCACUUCACUUUAGUUGAAUUCACUUUUAUUUGGGAGGAUUGAAAGACCAAAUGAAUACUUAGGUUAUAUUUGGUUCCCAAAAGUAGGAAGAAAACAAUAAAAUAAAAUAAAAUGAAAUAUUAAACAAAAUUAUUUUUUCAUGUAUGGUUUUAUUAAGAAAAAAUUAAACAUAAUUAAAUUAAUUAAAAAAUUAUUUAUUUUUAAAUUAUUUAACCUUUAUACAAAAUAGUUGAAAUAACUUAAACGAGUUUGAAGCAAUGUAGAAAUAUAAUUAAUUAAUUUUCAAAGUAUUUUUUAUUUUCAAUUGUUUCUUCUACUCUUCUUCUUUUCUUUACAUUUUCCCUCAAAUUUCUUGGGUGCUUAUAACAACAGUGCAGAAUUGCUGAAUUAACUCGGGUUUUGAUUUGAAUUAGGUUGCAGCUCAAGAUGGAGAUGGCAGCCAAACUGACAUCCCAGUCAUGGAUGACUCUGUGUAUAAGGCAGCAGCGAAGGGCGACAUUGAAGUUCUGAAGAAAAUUCCAGAGUCCCAAUUUCAUGCCCAAUUAACCCCAAAGCAUAACACGAUACUCCACAUCGCAAGUGAAUUCGGUCAAACAGAGUGUGUGAAAUGGAUCCUUACGUUGCCUGCAUGUUCAUCUCUACUGCAAUGCCCUAAUCUGAACGGGGACACUGUGCUUCACCUUGCAGCAAGGGAAGGGCAUUUGAAGGUCGUGGAAGCUCUUCUAGAACCUACCCUAGAUAUUGAAACUGGAGUUGGAGAAGAUAAGGAGAUGUUGAUCGGGAUGACAAAUAAGGGGAAAAACACAGCCUUGCAUGAGGCAGUGCGAUUUAACCAUUCUGAUGUGGUGGAGUCAUUGAUUGAGAAGGACCCCAGGUUUAACUAUCGUGCUAAUGAUUCAGGUACGACUCCUCUUUACAUGGCUGCGGAGAGAGGACUUACAGGCUUGGUGGUACUAAUCAUAGACAAAAGUAGUACUUCACCCUCUUACCAUGGCUUAAUGGGUAGAACGGCCUUGCACGCUGCUGUAUUAUGCAAUAAUGAAGGUAGUAGACUCACAAUACUAAUGAUUAUGUUAUUUUCAUAUAUGUAGAUUAAAAGGGAACAUGCAUGCCUUCAUUUGUUUUGUUCAUUUGCUUAAUUUUCUUAAACUAUUUUCCUUUAUCUAUUAAUCAGCAAUGACAAAUAAGAUACUUGAAUGGAAGCCAGACCUCACCAAAGAAGUAGAUAAGAAUGGGUGGUCUCCACUUCACUAUGCUGCAGAGAGAGGUUGUGAUCUGAAAAUAGUGGAGCUAUUGCUAAGUAAGUCAGAAAAGAGUGUAGCCUACCUUAGGAGCAAAGAUGGGAAGAAGACUGCCCUUCAUAUUGCAUCUUUCCACCAUCAUACAAAAAUAGUAGAGGAGAUCCUAUCUCACUCUCCUGGUUGUCGGGAGCAGGUCGAUGACAAGGGCAAUAAUAUUUUUCACUUUGCCAUGAUGAAAAAGGGUGACCGGUACGAUGAUUUUAAGCCUAGUAAUUACUUCGACAAUAAAUGGUUAGGGUCAAGAGGACCUGUAAAUGGGCCAGGAGGAUUUGUAAAUGGGCCAAGAGGACUUGUAAAUGAGAAAAAUGCUCAAGGAAACACACCCAUCCAUCUGCUCUCUCUUAAUCAAAUUUCAGAUUCUUGGUUUGUAUGGAAUGAAAAAGUGGAUAAGAAGGCGUACAACAAUGAAGACUUGACAGGUUAUGACAUAAUUUUGAGGGCGGACAUUUCCGAGAAAAAGGUAAGGCUCGCACAUAACUUCAAUUAUAUGUUUAUUGGCAAAUGCUUACCACGUUUCUCAUUUCUUUGAGCUGUGUUAUGUUUUGUUAUUUUUGCUAUGUUUGGAUUCCUUCAACCUAAGCAUUAGCUAGUUUUUUAUUUAUUUUUUUUGUCUCCAAAGUUUCAAGAUGGGAUAAUAGAGAAAAGGAAAAGAAAGAAAUAGAGGAAAAAAAAUUACAAAAUGUUUAUUGCUUUUCAUUGUUUAUUGAGAAAUUAAGCAAAAGAAAUUUAAAUUUAAGAGGAAUGUACUUAGCAUAAACCUUUUUUUCUUAAAAAAAAAAAGGAAAUGGGAAGAAAAAUUGUUAGUGUCUUUUAUUUAGUAAUUUUUUUCUUAUCAUUUUUUCACUUGUAUCCAAAUGUUGAAAAAUAAAAAAAUAAAAGAAAACCAUUUUUAUUAAAAAAAAAUUUCCGUUACUUUCCAAAAUCAAAUGUAGUUUAAGAUUAAUUUGAGGAAAAUAAAAGAAAAAAAAGAAGAAAAUAAAAAGAAAACAACAAUUUAUAAAAUUUUCUUUCAUUUUAUUGUUCAUAAAAAAGUCGGGAAAAAAAUUAAAUUGUUGAGAAAUGCAGUCUUUCCAAGCUUUUUCCACUUUUUCUAAGGAAAAUAUUUUAUUUUUUCUAUAUAUAUAUUUUACAUUUUCAUGAAUUUCAAACUAUAUUUGGUUCAUGAAAAACAUUAGGGCAAUGUUUAUUUCAUUGAUUUUUGUCUUUUUUUUUUUAAUUUUCUUCUCUUAACAUUUUUCCUUAUGGUUUCUUUUAGAAAUAAACAUAGCCUUAUCAUUUGUUUUCACUUUUUCUUUUUUAUGACUAAAAUAGUUUUAAGGUUUCUCAUGAACCAAACAUAACAUCAAGAAAACAUUUUUUUCUUUUCCACAUUUUAAUUAUUUUUAUCACAUUUUAAAGCAGUAGAAGGUGAGUAGGAUGAAGAGUUAAUAAAAAAUGGAUUCAUCAGUUGAAUUAAAUUUAAAUGUUAUUCACAUCUGAUUUCAGGAAAAUAUCCAAGUUGCCUUCGAGUAUGUUAUGACUGAAAGUCGUUCUUCGGUUACGGAGAAGGAAACUAAGAGACGGGAGAGAAAGAAAGAAAGGAAAGAAUACAUCUCUCAAUUACAAAAACAAGGGGAAACCCAUUUGAUAGUUUCUGCGCUUAUAACAACAGUAACUUUUGCUGCGGGUUUCACCUUGCCCGGUGGUUACAAAGAGGAUGAUGGCCAGGCAAUUUUAUCAAAGAAAGCAGCCUUCAGAGCAUUUGUUGUGACGGAUACCAUAGCCAUGGUAUCUUCACUAUGCGCCGUAUUGCUUCACUUUUUUAUGACCAUGCGCCAACGUGGGGAGUACCUUGAAAAACACUUACUUUGGGCCUUUAGUUUGACCAUGGUUGGGAUGGGAGCAAUGGCCAUCGCUUUCGCAACCGGCUCGUACGCUGUUUUACCGCAUUCCUCGGGCCUUUCAUUUCUCACUUGCAUCAUCUGCUCUUGCUUUUUCCUCUCCAUUGCAGUUGAAUAUUGUUUAUUUUGGAGAGGUACGAUUUCGGAAUUCACAAUCAAAAUAAUCCACAAAAUCCUCCUUGCUUCUGAAAGAAAAGAAAAUGCAGAUGCGUAGAUGAGGGCUCCCGAAUCGAUCCUAGUCUUUAUAAUCCACUAUUUCUUGGGUUGGAUCAAAAGACUUUUUCGGGCUAAGCAAUAUAUCAGAUUAGUCAAUGGAUACAAUUGUGAAUAUGAAUAAUGUUAGUGUUUAUUGUAAAUUUGGAUGCAAUUGAUCAUUGAGAUUAAUAUAAUCAAAACUAGUUUUACAAACGAUUUUUGAUAAAUUUAUAUUAAUGAAAUCAUUUUUUUUUAUAAACUGUUUUUGUCAUUGAAUUAAAAUUAUUUUUGUAUAAAUUAUAUUUGAUGCAUUCAUUUUUUUAUCCAUGGAUAUCAUUGUAUAAGAUUGGCAGUCAGAAUUUAAUUUCAUGAAUCAAUUCUUAUAAAAUUGAUACUACUAAAGUUAGAAUUGAUUAUUAUUUUUAAAAUUGGGAUUAAAGAAUUAGAACUUUAUUGUAUAAAUUAUUUUUUAUAAAAUUUGAAGUGUUGUCUUGGAUCAUAACAAAAGACUUUUUUGGGUUUACUGGGUGACUAACACUUGAAUUGAGAUUACUAGGGAUUUGAAAGAUUUGAAACAUGAACCUCAUGAUGGAAAAGUAAGAGAUAAGCCAGUAAGCCACUGCGCAAUAUAUCACAUUAGUAAAUAUUUCUGUAUAAUCCUAUAAUGGUGUUUUUCCAACCUUUAUUUUUAUAAUAAUAGGUAUGAAAUAAUAUAAAUUGAUUUUAAAAUUUUAAAAUAAUAAAAUAUAUGGAUAUAUAGUUAAAAUUAAAUAUUAUAAUUUUCUUUUUAUCUUAAAUAUCUUCAAACGUAAAUAUUAUACAUAUUAUAUUUAAUAAAAUUUAAAACAUUAAUAUAUUUAUACUUAUUUUUAUGAUUCAAUUUAACAUAUUAAAUAUAAAAAUAAAAUAUUAUUAAAUUUUUAAUUGUUUAUUUUAAAUUUUAUAUAAUAUAUAAAUUAUAUAUUUAUGAUAUAACAGAUUUGAUCAUUUGUCAAUCAUGGAUUUGACUAUUGAAUUAUGACUUAGUGUCUUUUCCAAUUUAAUAGCCAAUUCCAUUCUAAAGCCAUUGUUAACAUUUUUUUACGAGACAAUUGUGAGUUCAAAAAUUAAUUUUUGGUUCAUAUAAGUUGUAUAAUUAAUAGAGAUAAUAUAAAAUAUGAAGAGAUCAAUAUACCUUUCAAAACUAUUUUCUACCAUAAUGUUUGAUAAACCUUUUUGUCUUAAUUUUCUUUUAAUAAUUAUUAUGAAAAUUUAUUAUUUUUAGAAAACUGAUUUUUUUAAAAGAAUAUAUUCUAAAAAUAUAUCAUUUAAAAAAAAUAAAUUUAAUCUUAUUUUCUCUUAAAAGAAAAAAAGAUAUAAUUUUACCUACUAACAAAAUUAUUUAAUAAAUAUAAUGUUUUAAAAUAAAAUAUAUUUAAAUACAAUCAUGAGGUAGAUGAAAAUUAUUUUUUCAUAUUUUUAUAAUUUUUAGCAAAUAAUUAAAUUUAAAUAUAAAAUCCGCUAUUAGCUAACACGUGCCUCGUACAUUGAUGAAACGUAUUUAUAAGUCAAAUAAGCAGGAACCAUGAAGCUUUGAAAAAUGAAAUAGAAAUAUACUAUUUUUCAAUUACAGUCUUCAGUCACAAUUAGAACAAACCACUACUCUUCAGUCACCACCGAGCUGAGAUGUUCCUUCCGCAGGUAGUUGCAUCCUGAUAUGUCUCUCCCCAUGGAUUCCUACCCCAAGAAACACUUCCUUAAUGAUAUUCAGUUCCAUCACCACGUCUUUGAUGUCCAUUCGAUCACCAGGUGAUUCUUCAGAACGUGCUACUCCAAUUCUCGCAAUUGAGGCAAGGCAAUGCUGCAUUCUACCUUCCACAUCACCGUGAUUUGCUAUAUUGUUGAUUGCUUCACCUGACUCCCCAACCAAGUUUGAAUCGGCAAUCUCCAUCACCCGUUCUGGCAAUGCCAUCUUCGAGAAACUGUGAAGGCUCAAACCAUCCGGAAACAUGUGUUCUGUUGGUCUCUUUCCCGUGAACAUCUCCAGGAAAAGGAUGCCAUAGCUGUACACAUCUCCUUGAGGCCACAUGGAGCCACCUAGUCCAUAUUCUGCCAUGCAUAUAUUCAUCUUUUUUUACUUAAAAGUCCAUUGAAAAGUAAGGCUAAUAGGCCGAGUGUAGCUAUGCUAUCCUGCGUGCCAAUUUAAACCAACAAUUUCACAACUUAUUUUUAGGAUUGAGGAAAAAAGACUUAAGGAAGUGUACCUGGAGCGACAUAACCGAUGGAUCCCAUCAUCAGUGUCGAACUGGUUUGAUCACUACUCAGCAUGUCGUCAGCUUCAGGAAAGAGCUUGGCUAACCCGAAGUCCCCGACAUGGGCAAUCAUGUCAUCAUCAAGAAGAACAUUGCUUGGCUUUAGAUCACCAUGAACAAUUGGUGUCUGCAAUUGGUGAUGAAGAUAAUCCAGAGCAUUAGCCACAUCAAUUGCAAUAUCUAAUCUUUGUCUGAAGCUUAAAUUUCUGGAUUCGUGAUGCAGCCAGCUAUCUAGGUUCCCAUUAGGCAUGAACUCAAAUACUAGAGCACUAAAAUCACUACCUCUGUUUGUCCACACUUGUAUAUGAAGUUAUGAUCCUGAGGAGAUUUCGAUGUUGAAUUUGCCCGGAGGACCUUGCACUCAGCCAUGAAACUCUUGGAAGCUCCAUGCUAUUGAAGGUUCAGUACCUUCACUGCAACCGGUCUUUAGCCUUGACUAGGAAUUCCUUUGUAUACAGAACCAAAACUUCCCAUGCCAAUCAAAGUUGGAGGAAGCAAAUGCACCAGUUGCUUUGAGUUGUAAGAAACCCUCAAGUACCCAUAUCCCAAAGAAGUGGAAGAGGACUUCAUUAUUGUCUUUUUUCUCCUAUAAAGGAGAACUGAAGCCACAAUGAAAGCCAAGCAAGAAACACCAGCAAUGCUUAUAGCUACAAUAAUUUUGAUUGAAGGAUGCUUGCCCUUGGCAUACUUUGCUGACUCUACAACAGAGCAUGGUGGCAGAUGCAGUUGAGGGAUUUCCCCACAAAGCUUCUUGUUCCCAGUGAUUGAAAUCCCAUUCACAUUUUUAAAAACUCCUCCACUUGGAACUACUUCACCUUCAAGGUAGUUAAAAGACAGAUUUAAAGUCAGCAAAGCAGAAAGAUGUUGUAGUUCUUUGGGAAUCGUUCCAGACAAGUUGUUGCAUGAAAGAUCUAGGAAUUGAAUUCCUCGCAAAGAGCUAAAGGACGGGUAUUUUUCCCUGGAAAGAGUUUCUUGCCAUGUCGAGGUACUCUAAUACUGAACAGCUGCCAAGUUCCCUGGGAAUUUCCCCUGACAAAUGUGUUAUCAGAAACAAGUAACUCAUUUAGGUUUUUCAGUUGACCAACAUCUGCUGGAAGAGAACCAGUGAAUGAGUUUUGUUGAAGGUAGAGUGAUCUCAACCGAUUGAAAUGACCAAUGACAUUUUCAGGUACACUACCACUCAACUUAUUGUGACUGAGGUCCAGAGUUUCCAUAUUGUGGCAGUUCCUGAGAGAUGUAGGAAUGUUCCCAUCCAAAUUGUUGUAGCUCAUGUUAAGGUGGAACAGUUGACUUAAGUUGCCGAGGGUGGACAGUAGCAGACCUGAUAGCCUGUUCUAACCGAAGUCCAAUUCUCCUAAGUUCUGAAGCUUGCCAGUUGAUGUGGGAAUGAUACCAGUGAGAUAAUUCCGAGUUGCAAUGAAUUGAAUCAAGUUGAUGAGGUUUCCAAUCUCUUUUGGGAUGUUUCCAGAUAUUUUGUUUUCUCCUAGGACGAGUUGCUGCAGUUGGGUUGAGAGAUUGACAAUGGAGUUGGGUAACACACCCCCAAAAUGAUUGCCUUCUGGAUUGAUUAACCUUAAACCGCUGAUGUUGGUGAGAGAAUUUAGAAAAUUUAAAUCGCCAGACAUUCCCCUUCCUAAACUAUUGAAGUCAAGGGUCAACCAAUACAGAUCCUUGAGCACUCCCAAACUAUCAGGGACUUUCCCAGUUAGAUGAUUGUCACCUAGAUCCAAAAGUUCAAGUCCUGAAAUAUUGGAUAGUGUAUCUGGAAUUAUUCCGGUAAACUGAUUCAUUGCUAUGCCAAACUUGCAGAGUUGAGGAGAACUGAGCCUCAUGUUUGACAUGAAAUUUCCAGACAGAUGGUUGUCAGUUGCUACAAAUUCAAUGACAGAUGACAAAUUAUGGAGGGAGGGAGGAAUCACACCAGACAAGUUAUUUGUACCUAGAUAUAAAUAUCUCGUGCUCUUCAAACGACCUAAUUCAUGUGGAAUAUUUCCCUCCAAAUGUACGCAAUGGACAGCCAAGAUGAAGGGUUUCCCAAAGUAAAUGGAAUAACCCCUCUUAGAUAGUUGGCACCAAGCCAUAGAUGUAGGAGUUUCGACAUAUGGCCAACGUGCAAGGGAAUCUGCCCUGUCAGAUUGUUCCUUGUGAAAUUCACAGUUCUGAAGCUUGAGCAGUUUGUCAGUUCAAUCGGAAUCUCACCUUGGAUAAAGUUCAUGCUCAGAUUGAGAUGUUGCAUCCGUGGCAAAUGGCCAAUAUCACUGGGAUGGUACCGUGCAAGUUAUUGUUGGACAAUUCCAACUCUCUGAGAAAUGUUAAGUUUUCAAUAGGAGGCAAGGAACCAGCUAAUCUCUGACUCUCCAACCUCAAGGCUGUGACCCUCUGAAGUUGGUGACUGCAUGUAACCCCCUCCCACUGGCAGAAGUGCAGAGAGUCAAUACAGGAGCUCAGAUUAAUAAUUGUUUAUGAUUAAGCUAUCUAUACAUAUUCAAUUUAUAUUUAUUAAAUAUGGGUCACCUUGUGUGUAGAGCCCAAGUCACAUGUGUCUUACAUGAUGGGCCUAAAACACAUGUGGCCCAACAACCAAUGGGUAUGGUCCCUAAGACAUAGUGGAAAUUAAUAAAAGGGAAAAUGAAACUGAAGUUUGGUGUCUUAAGUUUUCUUUUCUGAAAAUACAAAACAUUCCCUCUCCUGUCUCCUAUCACAAGAGAAAAAAUAGAAAGGUGGUUUCCUCCUCUAUUUCCAUAGAAAAAUCAUAUUUCUUCAAGAUCGAUAAUGGAUUCAGGUUUGUCUACACUCUCUAAUCUAAUCGGCAUGUUUUCUUUAUGAUUUAACAUGAGAUUUCUACAUUGGGUUGAUAAUGACGUUUACAACAUUGGUUUCUUUAGAUUUCAAUUUAAGGGAUUCAGAUCUAGAACUUCUACAUGAUAUUCUCAUAGCAUCCCUUUGAAAAUGGAGGAAAUGGGAAUUAAAAUGGGCAAAAGUGAUUAAAAUGUAAGUUUGAACUAGAGAUUCAAGCUAUUCAAGAAUCAAACAUUGAGGCACUUGUUUAACUUCUGUCAGUGGUCAAGGAUUGCCAACAUUGUAGUGCAACAGUCAUUAACAAAAGUGGCUUUGACUUGGUAAUUUGUAAGGAUAAUUUGUCUUAUAUAUCUAACGUGUCUAAGGUGUUUUCAGUUUUUUUUUUCCUUUCAUUUUUAAUGGAUUUAUUAUUUCAUUUUAUUUUAUUUUGUGUUUUGUUUUGUUUCUUCACAGUCUAAUAUAUUUUCUUUGCACAUGGGCUACAUCUCAUUCGGUAUUGUUUUAUAAAUUUCUUAUUACCUCUAAAAAUGUAUUUGCAAAUGUAUCCUAAAAUGUUAUUUUUAUUGUUGCUUCUAUAUUUUCAAUUUUGAUUAUUCACUGGGAAUUUAUACAUUGAUGAUGUUUAAUGCUAACCAAGUUAACUUUCCAACAAUAUAAUAAGUUAGGGCAUCAAACUGAGAAAUGAAGGGGUUUCUCUUACUACAGGCAUUCUGGAGGAAUUCUAUUAUCAAGCUGCCUUUAUCAAUGCAGUAGUCAUAGGUCACAAGUUUUCUUUUUACAACUUGAUAUUGUUUUUCUUUGUUAGGUCAGCCUCCAGUACUGCUCUGUGUUUCAUCAAAACUUAGGGAAGUAGUAUAUAUAUAUAUAUAUAUAUAUAUAUAUAUAUAUAUAUAUUGGAGUGAUGAGCAGGGUAGCUGAUGAUGCCAAAAAACUUGGAUAAGGAGCUCUGAAUGGUGAAUUAGUCCAGUUCAAUUUAGGUAGGACCACCAUCAUCACCCGACUAGACCCAUCCCAUAUACUUGCCAUUAUUGAGCUUGGAUGUGUGGGGCUAGCCCACUCCUAUAUGCGAUUAGUUCUUGAAAACUUGGAUAGGAAUGCCAUCAACAGAAAACCUAUAAAGUCAGCAAAAAUUAGAGAUGAAACAAGUUAAAUUUCGUAAACUGAAAAAUGUGGGAACCUAUUAAAGGGUUGCAAAUGCAAUUUGUUUUGGUCGGUAGGUUUUUGAGAUUAGUAGAGAAAAUAAUAUGUUGUGAUAAUAGUUAGUCCAUCAUUAUAUACGACCAAUAGUAUCAGUGAAAGACACACAAGAGCUUCAACUAGAAUGCAUGUUAUAUGUAAUAAACUGUAUAGAACUCUCAAACCCAGUGGUACUUAAGCUCCUAGCAUCUGUUUCGACUGGGAAUCUGCAAUAAAAACCUUCUACCAAAUCACUGUUUCGUGUUGAAGGAAGAGAUUACAUUUGGAUUUGGGAGCAUUGACAAGCCCCAGACUACGUGUAUAUCAAUAUACUCUGGGUUUCAUGGGCCUACAAACAAGAAAUCAUAGGUUUUGGAAUAGAAUACCAAAGGUAAGUUCCAGAUGAAGUGUUCUAGUGUUCUUUGUUGUUAUCAUUAUUAGCCUUCUUUUCUUUCUUUCUGUUUUUUGUUUUUUCCUUCUUUAUUACGAAGAAGGUCAUGAUUUCUUUCUUGAAACAAGUUUGCAGGAAUGACAAGGGGAAGGAGGUUGUGUCAGAUAGGGUAUGCAUUUUAGAGGUGCAAAUUAUUGAAGUUUUUGGGAUUUGACUCAUCUUUGUAACAUUAUUAUUUCCCUUAGAUUGUUCUUUAGAUGCAUGCAAUGUCAACAGUUUAAAUAUGAAAUUCAUGGCUGAUAAAAGGCCCUCCCUUAUACCGGCUGUGGAUUUUAAAACCAUCUCUCACAUGACAUGCACUCAUGCUAUGGCACGACCUGUUGAGAUAAUCGAGGGAAGGGAUACUUUAAUACAUUUUAAGAAAAUGGUUGUCUUACUUAAUUUGAUAUGUUCCAAAGGAUUUUAUAGGAAGGGAAGCCUGGAGUGGGAUCAAACCAUGGCUUAAAUCCUCUGCUCCCUCUUUCCUACACCAUUUACAAAGACAUUGGUCUGUGGAUGAUGUGGGUCUUGUUCUCUAGAUUGCCCAAAAGCUCAAAAUCCAAGUCAAAACAAUUUACAUUAGAAAUCAACACCGGAAUGAGUUUCUUCAUGUUGCUCUUUGUUUUAGUCACACACUCAUCUUACAUAGAAAGCUGUCACAACCCUCCCUAAAGAGUUACUCCCAAGUAGCAUCAAAUGCAUGUGGAAGAACCCAACCCACAUCCAAAAGUCUCCAGUGAUGAUUCAAAGGCCCGCCCUGUUUACCAUAAAGUAAUUACGAUUAAGACUCUAGAUAUAGAAACCCUUGAUAAGUUUGUUAUGAUGGCAGUAGAAAGAGAAAUAAAGUUGAACGAAAUGAGCAGAGGCAUGGUCGAGAACAAUGUUUUUGGAACUGGAUCAUUUAUUGAAUUGAAAAAAUUACGGGUUUAUGGUUUAAUGGUCAAACCGGUCAUUGAACCGAGUUUAAAUCGGUGAGGUCAUAAAUAUAUAAUUUAUAUAUUAAAAAAUAAAUUAAAAAUUUUUAAUAUAAAGAAAUUAAAAAAUAAUAAUAUUUAUUUUUCAUCUUUGAUAUUAUUAAACUUAAAUCAUGAAUAAAUAUAAAUGUAUUAAUAUUUUAAUUUUUUAAAAUAAAAUAUGUAUAAUCUUUAAAUGUGAAGAAAUAUAUUAAAAUAGAAGAAAAUUCUUUUAUUUAUAUUAUAUUAUUUUCUUAUAUUAAAAAAAAUUAAAUAAUUAUGUUGAUUUAGUUUAUUUUGAAAUUUUAAAGAACAACCAUUAGUAGUAAAGUGGUCAUAGUCCUGACAUGUGAAUUUUAUGGAUUUUUUAAAACUCAUCCCACAUAGGAAGUUGAUAAGGAGAAUGCCUUUAACUGUCCAUUUCAUGAUAUAAUAAGCAUGCAAGAGGGCUCAAGACAGAGCCUUGUCCUGGUAAAAAAGGUCAACCUAGAACCAAUGGUUCAAAACUAGUUCAAUGUGUACUUCAGCCCAAAGGCUAUGGACUGAACCGAACCAAGCUUUGGUCAAUGGUUGGACCAAUCAGACUAGUUGGUCCAGUCGGAACUUUGUAUAUUUUCUCAAAGGUAGGGCCGCUUUGGGUAUUUGCAAGUAUUGUCUCAUCUAAAACUAAUGGUUAGAAACUCAAUAAAUAACUUGACUCUCUUUUUGUAUAUAUUAUUUUUUGAAAACUAUACUUGCACCUAAAUCAAAAUAUAUCAUCAUCAAUUAUACAAUAUCAUAUAUAUAUAUAUAUAUAUAUAUAUAUAUAUAUAUACAUAUUUAAUUGGACUUCUUAUUAUCUUAAUAUCGUAUAUUUAGAGCUCAUUUAAUUGUGUGAUUUAAAAAUAGUUUUUAGUUAUUAAAAAUAAAAAAUUGUUUUUAAUAUCAUUUGACGGUUGUUCUCUGAAAAUGAUUUUUAAAAAUAAAAUGAAAUAAAGAACAAUUUUUAGGAAACAAAUAAAGUUAUUUUCAUAAAUUUUAAAAAAUAAAAAUAAAAUAUGAGUCCGUUUAAUUAUGUUUUUAAAAAUUUGUUUUUAAGUUAAAGAAUAAAAAAUAGUUUUUAAAAACAAAUUUAAAAAACAUGGUAAAAAAAGACUGUUAUACUCUCAUUCAAAUGAUCAAGAUUUUGACUUCAGUUCCAUAUGUUGGUAUAUUAAAAUUUUUCUAUAUUAAAAAAUUUGGAUAUGAAUCAUAUGAUACUAUAAGUUGGUGCCAUGAAUGUUUCCUGAAAAACAAGAAAGGAAGAAGGGGGGAAGCCGGAAAGGUGCGGCGGUGGUGAGAAAAGCGAUGAUAUGAUAUAAUUUUUUGUAUUGCAUCAAAGUUUUCAAUAAAAUUCUAAGCAACCAUGAAAGUUGUUCAUCAUGUACCUGACACUUUGGACCGAGAUGAUGGCUCCUUUUUGGCUUCUAUUUCAUGUCACGUGCCUCGAAUAAUGUUAAAAAUAAAAAAAAUUAAAUAUAUACAUAUUUUAUAUUAUUCCAUAAAGUUGUGUUGAAAAUAUCAAUAUAUGUUAUUUAAAUUAUUCCUUAUUUUAUGUUUUAAGUUUUAAAUUAUUCCUACACCGUUUUGUAAUUUACUUUUUCUCAAAAUAUGUUUUAAGUUUUAACCACCUCGAAAAUCUUAUGUAAAACUUUCAUAAAUGAUUAAAAAAAUUAAUAACAUACAUUAGGUUGAGUGUUUUUUUAAUAAAUAAUUUAAUAAUGAAACCCAUAUAAAAUAAAUGUUAUUUAAAUUAUUCCUUAUUUUAUAUUUUUCUAAAACUCAAUAAAUAAUUUUUUGUAAUGGUAUUUCUCAAAAAGUUUAAACUCCUUAAUUUCAAAUAUUAUUUUUCUAACCAUAAAUCAUCUUUGAAAUAAAUAUUUUAAAAAUGAUAGUUUGAUUUAUCAUUUAAAUGUAAGUGUUUUAUAUAAAUUAUUUUAAAUUAACAUAAAAACUUUUUAGUUAUUAUUUGUUAGAAUUUUCAUAUUCUUUCAAAAGAGUAUAAAGUUCGUGUUAUUAAUUGUAUUUUUUUUCCUAUUAUUAUGCUUUUUAUAUAAUUUUUUUUUAAUUGGAUGAGUAAAAAAAAUAUUUAAAUAUAAAAUCUUAUAAAAAAGAAAUAAAAAUUUAUUAAACAACAAAUAUGAAUUUUUUGCUUUUAUAUUCUUUAUUAUUUAAAGUUUGUUUAUAUAGUUAUUACACCAACAUUGGCCUCACGAUGGAUUGAGCAAAACAUUUUCAAUAACCACUCAAUUAAUAUAAAGGAAAAAGAAAUCUAAAGAAGAGGCAAGAGAAAAGACUGGAGCACAUCCUCUCCACCACAAAACUAAAAAGCAUCUUAUUCAAACAUAAGUUUGUCUUAUCCUAUCCAACGUCAUCAUCCAACCAAGGAAAUGCAUUAUUAUUAUUUUUUUAUUUUUAUUAAAAAAAAAUAGAAAUUAAAGAAGAGACAAGGGAAAGGACAUAUGCAGCCCCCUCCAGGGCCUCCACCACACAACCUUGCCGUGAAGGGUGGUUUUCCCAAAACAGACUGUAAACGGAGCUGACAGCCAAAACUGUCAUAGCAUGGAUGUCAUUGUACUUACAUGGCAUGGAUGUCAUCAUAUGCGUCAUGGAAAUUUAGUUUUAUUUAAUUUUUAUUUAUUUUACUCCUUUUUAAAAUAAAAAAAUUUUGAUUAAAAAAAUUAAAAUUUUAGCUGACAGAGAGAAUUUAAAAAUGUAAAUAACAUACCAUAAAAUAAUAUUAAUAUAGAACAUUAUUCAAUAUAAAUAAAAUGCUUUUAUAUAUCUAAUAGCAUAAUGUAAUGUUUUUUUAUUUAUAAAUUCUAAAUAUUUUAAACACAAAUGUUAUUAUCAAAGAAAUAAAAAAAAUUAUUUACUAAAUUUUCAUUUAUACACUUCAUUUUGUCUAGUUUCAAAAAUAGAAAAUAAUAAUAACUUUACUUUUAAAACUUUACAUUAAAAAACUAAUGAUUUUUUAAAACUAUUUUAAAAAUAAAGGUAUUCAUAAAAAUUUAAUAUCUUAAAUUUAAAAUUUUUUGAAAGUUAUUUUUAAAAUUAUAAACUUGGUCUACACUUUUUGUAUAAGAGGAUUUUUUUUUUUUUAUAAGUUCUUACUAUUUUUUUAAAAUUAAAAAAAAACACCAAGAAGUAUGUCCAAAUGGACAUGAAAUUAUAAAUUAUCAAAUGAUUUUCAAAUAGUUGAGAAAGAUUUUCUAUAUAUAUUGUAGACCUGGUUGGCUGGGGGCCCCAAGGAGCAAGAGAUUGCUUCUUUUUCUUUAGAAAAGUGGGUGAGAUUGGAUAGGGGAGGACGGGAGCAGCUGGGAGAUUGGAGGGGGGAAAAGAAAAUGAUAAGAGAAGGGAAGUGGCAGCAGAUUGGAGGGGGGGUUUUUGGGUAGAAAAAAAAAUAUGGGAAGGAAAAUCUUGAAGAGAGAAAAUGGGCAGCAGCUAGGGGAGAAGAAGGAAACCGGGCAGCACAUGCACUGGAGAGGAAAACCGGGCAGCACAUGCAUUGGAGAGGAAAACCGGGCAGCACAUGCAUUGGAGGAGAUUUUGGGCAGCACAUGCAUUGAAAGAAGAAAAAAAAUCUGGGGACAAGAGAGGAAACCGGGCACCAAAUAGACCUUUCUUCAACCUCUCGGCCUCUCUCUUUGUUUUCCAUCUCCGGGUACUUUCUUUUCUCCACUCCAUGCUUGUUUUUUUUAACUUCUUUUCUAAGCUCAUUGUUGGAUAUAUAGGGUGAGGAUGAUAUGAGUUUAUUUAGGUUCUUAUUAUUGGAGCUUUGUUCUACCAUCUUCACCGCCAACCUGCCACCACUGAUCUUCAACCCGGAAUUUUUUUUAAAAAAAGAGUGAAACCAUCUUUUGAUCUUUGAAUGAAUAUUUUAGGCAAUGGGUUUUGUUGGUGGGCUCCCAAGGCAUUGACUUGUGGGUUUAAAUAGGUUCAUGUGGGCCUUAAGCCCUUUUCUUUUAGUUUGGGCCGGAUGGGUAAUGUUUGUUUGGGUCUCCUAGGUUGGGCUUUGCUGAAGCUGAAGGUUAUUUGGCACUUUUUUUUAUGGGCUUGAGAUGGAGCCCAAGGCUCUUUUAAUGAAUGGACAUGGGCCUUUUUUUUAUGAAUGGACAUGGGCUUGAUGGAGAGAUGGAGCCCAAGGCUCUUUUAAUGAAUGGACAUGGGCCUUUUUUUUAUGAAUGGACAUGGGCUUGAUGGAGAUGGAGCCCAAGGCUCUUUUAAUGAAUGGAGCCCAAAGCUCUUUUAAAGAAUGGACACGGGCUUAUGGACUUGGGCUUGGUGUAGAUGGAGCCCAAAGCUCUUUUAAUGAAUGGAUGUGGGCUUGGUGUAAAUGGAGCGCAGAGCUCUUUUAAUGAAUGGACUUGGGCUUGAUGGAGAUGGAGCCCAAGGCUCUUUUAAUGAAUGGACAUGAGUUUCUUUUAAUGAAUGGACAUGAGUUUCUUUUAAUGAAUGGACAUGGGCUUGAUGGAGAUGGAGCCCAAAGCUCUUUUAAUGAAUGGACUUGGGCUUGAUGGAGAUGGAGGCCAAGACUCUUUUAAUGAAUGAAGCCCAAAGCUCUUUUAAUGAAUGGACUUGGGCUCAUAGACUUGGGCUUAUGAUGGGGAUGGAACCCAAAGCACUUUCAAAAUCUUAUUAUUAUUAUUAGUCUUAUUAUUAUUAUUAUUAUUAAUUCAAACUUUCAAAAUCUUAUUAUUAUUAUUAUUAUUAUUAUUAAUUCAACUUUCAAAAUCUUAUUAUUAUUAUUAUUAUUAAUUCAAACUUUCAAAAUCUUAUUAUUAUUAUUAUUAUUAUUAUUAUUAUUAUUAUUAUUAUUAUUAUUAUUAUUAUUAUUAUUAAUUCAAACUCUCAAAAUCUUAUUAUUAUUAAUUCAACUUUCAAAAUCUUAUUAUUAUUAUUGAUCUUAUUAUUAUUAUUAUUAUUAUUAUUAAUUCAAACUUUCAAAAUCUUAUUAUUAUUAUUAUUACAAAUUCAACUUUCAAAUGUCGAUGUUUUCGCAGUUCAAUUUCCUAAAGUCCAUUUCUCAUUUUCUUUAACAAAUUUCCAUUUAAUCACCGGAGCUCUAAUCUUUUAAAUUUAAUUCCAAAUACUCCAAUUUUCAAAUAAACUACAAGAAUCCAGUUUUCACUCGAAUAGUUUUAAUCCCAUUUCAGUUCCUAAAUAAUCUUCUGAUCUUCUUGAUUUUACAUAAGCAAUAAUGAUUCCUUCAUAAUUCUAAAACACGGGAUUUGUGAGAUUAGCUCAUGAACAAUAAAUUAGGCUUUGUUGGGGGCCCUAUGUUUGAUCCCUUUUGACUGUCAAUUGUUGUGCUUAAUAUAUUUUGCUUGAGCUUCGUUUUGCACUCCGAUAUGCAUGGGCUAUACUUUGUAUUCAUUAAUUGUGCACUAAUCUCGUUUCUUGAUAGCGCAUUGUGGCUCGUGGCCAAGGUACACAUCCACUCCCAUUCUAGUCAAUCUCUAUUGUGUGUUUUGAUUUUCAUAUUAUGCAUGAUUUAGGUGCGUAUCCAUUGACUUUCUCGUUGAUCGUCGCGUCAGUUUCAUUUUAUUAGUAGAGACCCAUUUUAGAGACUUAGAGAGGUGUUAUGGUCUUUACCGUACCUUCCCGAUAAGUAACCUGACCCCCGAACCCGAUCCGGUUUUUCGUAGACCACAUUUUCCAAAAUAAGGAGUCACACUUAGGGUUUUUCUUUCUUAUUUUGUUUACCCUUUAAAAAUAAAACAAAAAUAAGUGUUUCAAUCAAUUAAAUCAUUUUUCAAAUAAAAAUCGAGCUCGCCAUUCGAGUGGGAAACGCAUGAGCCGAAAUGCGAGGUCCACAAUAUAUAUAUAUAGGUUUUUCGUAGACCACAUUUUCCAAAAUAAGGAGUCACACUUAGGGUUUUUCUUUUUUAUUUUAUUUACCCUUUAAAAAUAAAACAAAAAUAAGUGUUUCAAUCAAUUAAAUCAUUUUUCAAAUAAAAAUCGAGCUCACCAUUCGAGUGGGAAACGCAUGAGCCGAAAUGCGAGGUCCACAAUAUAUAUAUAUAUAUUUAUAUAUAUAUAAUAGGAAUGCAAUAUAUUUUUUAUUUUAAAAAAAUGGAUGUUGAGAUGUAAUAAAAUUUCUAUUAUAUUUUUUAUUCCUUUUAUAAAUUAAAUAUAAACAUGCAAUAAAAUAUUAUGUUGGAUUUAAUAUCUAAAAUACCAUUAUCACUUUAGAUAUAGUAUAUUAAGAUUUGAUUAUGUUAUGUCUUAUUUUAUCCAUCAAUUAAAUGCAUCCUCCAUAUUUUAUACCGAUCUUGCACAUGGAAAAGGCAAAAUGGAACUAAUUAGGCCACGUCAUAUAUGUAAUUUAAGUUUUAUCAUGUUAUACACUAGGUCUUUAACUUUGUACCUCAAAUAUGAUUUUAGUACUUUGUACCUUGACCUCAUUCUUGUUAGCAUCUUUAUUCAAAGCUCUAAAUUUUAUCAUAAACUUUGAAUGACUGCUUGGAUUUGAACUUCAAUAGAUGUCAAUUUGGUACCUUAGACCUUUUCGGAUCUUAAAAACAUAAAAGAAAAAUAAAAUUUUAAAUAAUGAAUUUGAAGAAAAAUGAUACCUUUGAUCUUAAUUUGAAGAAAAAAAGAAUGAAAUUGUGUGGACCCCGCAUUUCGGCUCAUGCGUUUCCCACUAGAUGGUGAGCUCAAUUUUCAUUUGAAAAAUGAUUUUUAUUGAUUAAAAAAAUGACUUGGAGUCGCCACUUAUUUUUGUUUUAUUUUUAAAAGGGUAAACAAAAUAAGAAAGAAAACCCUAAGCGCGACUCCUUAUUUGGAAAAGGUGAUCUACGAAAAACCGGAUCGGGCUCGGGGGUCAGGUUACUUAUUGGGAGGGUACGGUAAAGACCAUAGUACUCCUCUAAGUCCCUAAAGCCGGGUCUCUACUAAUACAAUGAAACUGACGUGGCAAUCAACGAGAAAGUCAAUGGAUACUCACCUAAAUCAUGCACAAUAUGAGAAUCAAAAACACGCAAUAGAGAUUGACUAGAAUGGGAGUGGAUGCGUACCUCGGCCACGAGCCACAAUGCGCUAUCAAGAAACGGGAUUAGUGCACAAUUAAUGAAUACAAAACAUAGCUCAUACAUAUCGGAGUGCAAAACGAAGCUCAAGCAAAAUACAGUAAGCACGAUAAUUGACAGUCAAAAGGGAUCAAACAUAGGGCUUCCAACAAAGCCUGAUUUAUUAUUCAUGAGCUAAUCUCACAAAUCACGUGUUUUAGAAUUAUGAAGGAAUCACUAUUGCUUAUGUAAAAUCAAGAAGAUCAAAAGAUUAUUUAGGAACUAAAAUGGGAUUAAAAACUAUUCGAGUGAAAACUGGAUUAUUGGAGCUUGUUUGAAAAUUGGAGUAUUUGGAAUUAAAUUUUAAAUAUUAGAGUUCCGGUGAUUAAAUUGAAAUUUGUUAAAGAAAAUGAGAAACGGACUUUAGGAAAUUGAACUGCGAGACCAUAGACUUUUGAAAGUUGAAUUUAUAAUAAUGAUAGUAAUAAGGUCUUGAGAGUUUGAAUUAAUAAUAAUAAUAAUAAUAAGAUUUCGAAAGUCUGAAUUAAUGAUAAUAAUAAUAAUAAUAAGAUUUUGAAAGUGUGAAUUAAUAAUAAUAAUAAUAAUAAGAUUUUGAGAAUCGAAUUAAUGAAAAUAAUAAUAAUAACAAUAAUAAUAAUAAGAUUUUAAAAGUUGAAUUAAUGAUAAUAAUAAUAAUAAUAUUUUGAAAGUUGGGUUAAUAAUAAUAAUAGUAGGAUUUUGAAAGUUAAAUUAAUAAUAAUGAUAAUAAUAAGAUUUUGAAAGUUGAAUUAAUAGUAAUAAUAAUAAUAAGAUUUUGAGAGUUUGGAUUAAUGAUAAUAAUAAUAAAAAGAUUUUGAAAGUGUGAAUUAAUAAUAAUAAUAAUAAUAAUGAGAUUUUGAGAGUUUAGAUUAAUGAUAAUAAUAAAUAGAUGUUGAAAGUGUGAAUUAAUAAUAAUGAUAAUAAUGAGAUUUUGAAAGUUGGGUUAAUAAUAAUGAUAGUAAUGAGAUUUUUGAAAGUUGGGUUAAUAAUAAUAAUAAUAGGACUUUGAAAGUUUGGAUUAAUGAUAAUAAUAAUAAUAAUAAAUAGAUGUUGAAAGUGUGAAUUAAUAAUAAUGAUAAUAAUGAGAUUUUGAAAGUUGGGUUAAUAAUAAUAAUAGUAAUGAGAUUUUUGAAAGUUGGGUUAGUAAUAAUAACAAUAGGAUUUUGAAAGUUUGGAUUAAUGAUAAUAAUAAUAACAAUAAAUAGAUUUUGAAAGUUGAGUUAAUAAUAAUAAUAAGAUUUUGAGAGUUUGGAUUAAUGAUGAUAAUAAUAAUAAUAAAUAGAUGUUAAAAGUGUGAAUUAAUAAUAAUGAUAAUAAUGAGAUUUUGAAAGUUUGGAUUAAUCAAUAAUAAUAAUAACAAUGAUAAUAAUAAUCAAUAAUAAUAAUAAUAAUAAUAAUAAUAAUAAUAGGCUUGGGUCUGGGCUCCAAAUUCAAACCCAAGCCCAAAGCCAAAACCAAACACAAAAUUGGGCCUAGUGCCUUAUCUCAAGCCCAAACCAAAUCUUCAUCUUCUUCCUAGCUUCUUCACAGCCCAACAGCAUCUUCUCCAUCUGGGCAACUCCUUUAGGAUAUCUCCACCAGCGUCGGGAUGGUGGAGAUGCGUGGCUUUUGAAGCCACGGCACCAGCCGGUGGACGUCUCUGCUAAUGGCGUCGUCGACCAUGCCGCGGGAGCAGUCGAAGAGGACGGCGAGCAGGCCGCCGUCGACAGCCUAGAGAGAGGCGUCCCGAACCGAAGCAGCAACGCCGAACUCCAAAGGUGGCUCCGGCGAGGUCUGUGGGGAAUGGAAGGCUUGCUUGGCUGCUGCCCGCUCCCAGCCACUGAAGAGGACUUGCGCACAUGGAGGUGUGAGUGAUGGUGAUUAUACGGGCAUAGAGAAAGAAAAGGUGGCGAGAAAUGGGAUUGGCGUGGAGAUGGGUAUGGAAAGCUGGGUGAGUGGAAUCAAACGGGUAUUAAAAUCAAGAUAUGCUUACGGGAAUCUCAUGAGGAAUCUGAAACAAUACUAAAUUUAUCUUCAAUAAGAACCAAAUAAAUAAUGAACCUGAACAUGCUAUAACCCCAUCAAACCAUUCUAAAGCUCAGCUGAGAUGCACAUAUGGCAUUGGACUUCUAUUCCCAUUCAACUAAUAGCAUCCAAUAGUCAACAAAGAUAGAGAAGAAAAACAGAUAAGUUGAAACGAAGUGGAAAAAUCCAUAAUAUUCAUACCUGAGGACAUUCUUCUUUUUCCAGAUGGGUUGGCUUCCUUACUGCUCUUUCUCCCCCAAAAGUCUCUCCUCAAAUAUCCUCCAACGACCAGCCCAGAGCUCCUCCUCCGCAGCUGAAAAAAAACUCUCUCCCUAAAACCAGGAAGACCCUUGCCCCUCUGCUGCUGCUCGCCACCUCAAAAUGACCCCCCCCCCCCCCCCCCCCCCCCUCUGCUCACUCUUCCAGAUGGCAGAAAAAGCUCUCUGCUCCUCCUGAAUCCAUCUCUCUCUAGCCGCCAGCCCAGAAAGCUCUGCCUCCCCCCGCAGCUUCAGAGCCCCCCAACCGUUUUUCUUCUCACGGUCUUUUCAUCCCUUUUCUUUUCUCUCUGUCAAGCUUCUAUUGGUUCCUCAAAAGCCCAUCUGAAUCUUCAACAGCCAAUCCGGGAGUGACACGUGGCUGCCUAAGAGCGCGACACUUGGCCAAAAACUAAUUGCAAAAAAUGAUUUAGAUAUAUCCCAAUUUGGGGGUCUACAAAUUGAAAGAGACAACAAUUAAAAUAUGAAUAAGGAAAAUAGGAAAAUGAAAUUUAUUAUAAUUUUUCAUCUUUUUUUGUUUGGUCUUUUAUUUCCUCAAUUUUUUUUUUGUAUUUAAAUAUAAGAAAAUCACAUUCCUUAAUAUUAUUUUCUUAUUUUUUUAAUAUUUUUUAAAAAUCAAACUGUGGACUCGGUAUUUUUCACGUGCGUCCCCAUUCGAUGGCGAGAUUUAUUUGGUGAAAAUUCGAUUUUUUGAAAAAGACUUGGAGUCGUCACUUAGUUUUAUUUUAUUUUUUUAAGGGAAAAACAAAAUAAGAAAUAAAAACCCUAAAUGUGACUCCUAAAUGAAAAACAGGUUUGCGAAAAACCGAAUUUGGGUUCGGGAGUCAGGUUACCUAUUGGAAAUGUAUGGUAAUGAAUUGUAACACCCCUUUAAUCCCGCAUACAUACGGUCUCUACUAAACGAAUUAAGAGAAUUGUGACAAUUAAUUAAUUAAUUAUGUAUACUAAGAAAAAUAACAUAUAAAAUUAUGGUAAAAAUCAAUAUACACAAAAAUAAUGAUGAAAUCUAAUUAAAAGAAUACACAAAAUAAAUGACAAAAGAAUUAUGCAAAAUGAUUUAUUUAAAUAAAUAAGAUAUUAAAAAAAUAUUUUUUUUCAAGAAAUUUCAAAGGAUUUUAUUAAAAACAAUUUUGAAUGAGUGAUUUCAAUUUAUUUAUUUACAAAAAAAAAGUCAAUUUAUUUUCUCAAUUUCAUUUGUAUUCAAUUUUUAGAAAAUUUAUUUACACUUAUUGUAUCAAAAGAAUUUAUUACAAAAUUUCAAUUUUGCAACAAAAAAAAUAUUUUUACUUGUUUUUUUAAAAAAAAGAACUUUUAUAAUUUUAUUUACAAAAGUAUUUGAAUUUGUUUUCAUUUAAGAAAAGUUACUUAUACAAUAUACACACACAUAUAUAUAUAUAUAUAACUUUAUUUGCAAAAGAAUUUUUAAAUAAAAAUUAAAUUUUUGGACAACUUUAUUUACAAAACAAUUUUUGGACAUUUUUUACUAAACAAAGAAUUUUUUAGACAAUGAUUAUUAAAAAACAAAUUUUUAAAUGCUAUUAAAAACAUUUUUUUGGAUUUUUCUAAAAGCAUUUUUCUGAAUUUUUAUUAAUAAUAAAAACUUUCUUUUACUUAGAAGAAUAUUUUAAAAUUAUUAUUUUAUUAAAACAUAUUUACUGAAUUAUUCUUUUUAUUUAAACAAAAUCUCUUAUUUGUUCGAAAUUCGAUUUUGUAAACACUCAAUAAAUAUUUACAAAUAAAUAUUUAUAGAAACUAGUAAAAAUAAAAUCAAAUAAAAUUGGGAAAUAAAACCUGUAUUCAAAUAAGCUUACAACAAGUUCAAUGUCUUCCUAAAACUUUUUUAUUCUCACUUUCUUCCAUGAAAUUUCAUACUCCACGCGUCAUAAAUUUGUACUCAGCCAACAAAAUUGUAGAAUAGACCCAUGCAAAAACAAAAAUAGCCCAAAUGUAAAUAUUCAAAGAUGUACAAAAUCCCAAACAAAUAUUCAAACCAAAAUUUAAAUUUCAAAUUAAUCUUAUAAAUUUCGUUAAUUAAAAUAAGUCCAAAUUACUAUAGGUUUUAGCCUAAAAUAUUCAAAUUAAUAACAAAAAAUACAAACACAAUCAACCAAACCUAAACCGAGAAGGAGAGUACCUCAACCGAGAAGGGAAGGUUACUGGAUGAGAGAAAAUGUUUUUGACACUUCUCGACCAGACCUUGAUCGGACAAGGGCAACCGAUCAACCGGUUCCCUGGUCGGUUGAGCCGGUUGGCCAAUGCCUCGACUGGUUCAGCCUUUUGGCCCCAAAAACCUAUCUUUUUCGGUUCUUUUCCUUUCCAAUACUUACGUAAGGUAUUUAGGUAAAUUAAUAUGUCAAUUUUGAAACGUUUUGCCUAAGGUACAUGUGGACCCCGUAUUUCGGCUCAUGCGUUUCCCACUCGAUGGCGAGCUCGCUUUUUAUUCGAAAAAUGAUUUUAUUGAUUAAGAAAAUGACUUGGAGUCGCCACUUAUUUUUGUUUUAUUUUUAAAAGGGUAAACAAAAUAAGAAAGAAAACCUUAAGCGUGACUCUUUAUUUUGAAAAAGGUGGUCUGUGAAAAACCAGAUCGGGCUCGGGGGUCAGGUUACUUAUCAGGAAGGUACGGUAUAAACCAUAACAUUCCUCUAAAUCCUUAAAGUUGGGUCUCUACUAAUACAAUGAAACUGACGUGGCAAUCAACGAGAAAGUCAAUGGAUACUCACCUAAAUCAUGCACAAUAUGAGAAUCAAAACACGCAAUAGAGAUUGAUUAGAAUGAGAGUGGAUGCGUACCUCGGCCACGAGCCACGAUGUGCUAUCAAGAAAUGAGAUUAGUGCACAAUUAAUGAAUACAAAACAUAGCUCAUGCAUAUCGGAGUGCAAAACGAAGUUCAAGCAAAAUACAUUAAGCACGACAAUUGACAGUCAAAAAGGGAUCAAACAUAGGGCCCCCAAUAAAACCCAAUUUAUUGUUCAUGAGCUAAUCUCACAAAUCCCGUGCUUUAGAAUUAUGAAGGAAUCAUUAUUGCUUAUGUAAAAUCAAGAAGAUCAGAAGAUUAUUUAGGAACUGAAAUGGGAUUAAAACUAUUUGAGUGAAAACUAUAUUAUUGGAGUUUAUUUGAAAAUUGGAGUAUUUGGAAUUAAAUUUAAAAUAUUAGAGCUCCGGUAAUUAAAUUGAAUUUGUUAAAGAAAAUGAGAAACGGACUUUAGGAAAUUGAACUGCGAGACCAUAGACUUUUGAAAGUUGAAUUUGUAAUAAUAAUAAUAAUAAUAAGAUGUUGAAAGUUUGAAUUAAUAAUAAUAAUAAUAAUAAUAAUAAUACUAAUAAGAUUUUGAAAGUUGAAUUAAUAAUAAUAAUAAUAAUAAUAAGAUUUUGAGAGUUUGAAUUAAUAAUAAUAAUAAUAAUAAGAUUUCGAAAGUUCUAAUUAAUGAUAAUAAUAAUAAUAAUAAUAAUAAUAAGAUUUCGAAAGUUUGAAUUAAUAAUAAUAAUAAUAAUAAUAAGAUUUUGAAAGUGUGAAUUAAUAAUAAUAAUAAUAAUAAGAUUUUGAAAGUUGAAUUAAUAAUAAUAAUAAUAAUAAUAAGAUUUUGAGAGUUUGAAUUAAUAAUAAUAAUAAUAAGAUUUUGAAAGUUGAAUUAAUAAUAAUAAUAAUAAUAAGAUUUUGAGAGUUUGAAUUAAUAAUAAUAAUAAUAAGAUUUCGAAAGUUCUAAUUAAUGAUAAUAAUAAUAAUAUAAUAAUAAUAAGAAGAAAUGAACUUUAGGAAAUUAAGUUGCGAGGAUAUAGAUUUUUAAUAAUAAUAAUAAUAAUAAUAAUAAUAAUAAUAAUAAUAAUAAUAAUAAGAAUUAAAAUUAAUAAUAAUAAUAAUAAUAAUUAAAAUUAAUAACAAUAACAAUAUUAAUAUAUGUUAAUAAUAAUAAUAAUAAUAUCUUAUAAUAAUAAUAAUAAUAAUAAGAAUUAAAAUUAAUAAUAAUAAUAAUAAUAAUAAUAAUGAUAAUAAUAAUAAUAAUAAUAAUAAUAUCACUAAUAAUAAUAAUAAUUAAAAUUAAUAACAAUAACAAUAUUAAUAUCCGUUAAUAAUAAUAAUAAUAAUAUCUUAUAAUAAUAAUAAUAAUAAUAAUAAUAAUAAUAUCACUAAUAAUAAUAAUAAUAAUAAUAAUAAUAAUAAUAAUAGCCUUUGGACGUCCACGAUCGGCGUUGCUUCGGACGCCGCUGUCCCCGUGGUGGGAUUUCACCACGCAAAAAAAAACUUCACCACGCGAAGAAAACUGGCCUGGAAUCAUACACAUGCCUGAAAAUCCUCCAGGGCUUCGACCACAAAACACACUGCAUGGAUGGCAGCCUCUCGUCGCUGCUCCGCCCAGAUCAGUACCUCCAAGGCCGCUUCGCCCAAGAACGAAGGAGUCGCAGUUCGGGGACCUGGAGCAUUGCCGACGAGCAUUGAUAGGAAAUCAGCCCGGAAGUCUUUUCUACAACAGGUCAGAGAGCUGACUUCCAUCUUCAAUGUAUGAAGAGUGUCAUCAGAUUAUCCAGUGGCGGGGUUCCAGAGGAUUAGAUAGUUUGGAAUCCCAGUAAGUCCCAGGUUCAAGCUUGGAAAUGGGUCAGUUAUCAAAACCAAAAUUUGUCUUAGAAGUUUUCUCAAUCGCACAAUGAGAGAUAGUGUCAUUUUUCCUUAUAAGGUUAGCAAUCUGCAUGCAUUUUAUGAGGGUGGAUGGAAGGUGCCCCUUUCACAAAGGCACUUCUCCAGUUUCGGUAACUCGGCCAUUGAUGGCCUCAUUCCCACAACCAACAAAGGAGCAAAGCAAUGAACAGAGAGGAGAAACAGCAGAGAACAAAACAUGAUUUUUAUAUAAUAAGAUUCAAGGAUGAAUUCAUACGUUAGGUACUUAUGGAAGGAGUCAAGAAAACCGAAAUAGAGUCAAAUAGAGCACAUACGCAUAUGGACAAAUUCAGCAAAACAAAACAAUAAUCCUUGACACCCAUACCAACCAACAAACCACUCCCAGAAAUCAACAGAAGGAUUUUAGUUAGCAGAACAAUAUCAUAACGUGAAAACAUGAAGUUCACAGAGAUUUUACCUAGAAGUUUUCUCCACGAGCAAGGUAUGUUCGUCUCUCCGCACCUUCCUCAUUUUCCCCUCAUUUUUUCCUCCUUCCUCCCUCUCUGCCAAAGAAAACCCCUUCCCGAAAGUCAACACCUAUUGCGCUAUUCACCACCUCAGCAUCUGUGGAGUCCCAACCACCCCCAUGGCUGCGGUCCUCUUCAUUGCCACGCGCCCCAUGCAUGGAGUUUUCUCUCAGCCGGUCCCCCCACUUAGGAAUGGUAAUUUCACGGGUUUUCCGGGUCACCCGCCUGACCCGCCCCUAUUGGGACGAGUAUAAGAACAUGGCAAUCGGGGAUGGGCCGGGUUCAGGCUUUUUUUAAAAACCUGAAUCGGGUUCGGGGCGGGGUCGGGUGUAGUUAUAAUUUGACCCGCCCCGCCUCGCCCCGCCCCGCCCCGAAUAUGAAAUUACAACUUUGUCCCCCACUUAUAAAUAUUAGCUUCCUCUCCUCAUUUCAGGUCUUCUUCUCUCAGUUCUCGUUCCUGUCUACGCUAGGGUUUUUCCUCCCACUCAAUGCAAAAAUCCAUCAAAUAAUCCAUUCGAAAAUCCAUCAGAUAUUUGCCUCUUCGUAUUCACCAUAUUUGUGGCCUACCAUCCCGGGGUUUUGUGGAGCCGUUUGGACGAUUUCUUUACUAGGUUUCAUCUCAAGGACUACGCUGUUUCGGAGGCAUCGAGGGAUUAUAGGAGGUUGGUGUAUGAGUUUUCAAAGAUGGGUUGUUUGAGAAAAAGGGGCAUGGGGUGUUUGUCACGCUCUGUGCGAUGGCGAUGAUGUUCUCCGCCUGUAUUUAUGGGGUUCUGGGGUGUGACAGCACAUGGGUUCAUAUCGCCAGUGGCACUUUGAUGGGCCUUUUCUGGAUUCAGAGUGGGUGGAUUGGGCACGAUUCUGGGCACUACUAGUGAUGAUGAACAAGCGUUUGAAGUUUGAACCGCUUUGUGCAGGUGUUGAGUGGGAAUUGUUUUGUGGAAUUGGAAGAUGCUGUUGAUGGUCCUGGCGGCAUGGGCCAGCACCCGACCCUGCCUCGCCUCGAGAGGCAUGGGGAUGGGAUCCCAUUAACCCACCCCGCCUCGGGUAUGGGACGGGGAUGGGAAAUAGAUUUAUAUAAUUGAGACGGGAAUGGGGUAGGGGUGGCCCCGCCCAAACCCGCCCCGUUGCCAAUCCUACCCUCAUUCCACCCAGCCAUCCCUCAAUGGUGGCGGGAAAGGCCUGAAAUCAAAAUAGACAUGCAAAGAAAACCCAAAAUCAAAAAAGGGGGUCUACAGUACAUUUGCUAAAACUCGAGUUUUAAUGAAAUUGUAACUUUAAAUAAUAAACCAAGUUUUCCAAAUAUGCAUAAAAAGAUAUAUAAAACCUAAGUGCACCCAUGUAUUCAUCUUACAUUUGUUUUAUAUGAUAAAGUCUUUCAAAUGUCUCAAUCUUAUAUCUAUUUGGUUUUUUGAUGAAUUUAUAAAUUUACACCUAAAAUUCUUUACCAUUCAAAUCAAUUAGUCACUUAACCAUGAUUUGUUAUCAUCAAAACCUGAUUAGGAGAACCCUUGGGCUAACAAUUACAAAUUCGGAAGGUAUCAAAUUUAUACCUUAGGAGUUCCUUUUAUUAAAUAUACAACAAGAGAUGAUAUAUAGAAGCUUAGAAAGUGAAUUAUUUUAGAGAAUGUUAAAAAUUUUGAUACACAAAACACAAAUUACUUAAAUAUAAAAUCGUAUCAAGGAUAAAUAUAAAUUUAUUAAACAAAAACUACAAAGUUUAUGCUUUUAUAUAUAUAUAUAUAUAUGCUGCUAUUGGCUUGAACAUUGGCCUCGCAAUGGACUAAAUAUUUCACUUUGACAAAACUUUUUCGUCCCCACUCAAUUAAUAAAGAAAAAUACACAAUUAAAAUAAAUAAACAAAAGAAAAAAAGAGUUGUGCACCUUCUCCCCACCACACAACUAAUAAAUUCUAUCAUAUUUGACUCAAUGGUGUUAUCCGUACUUCCUAACAUGGGUUGGCAAAAUAUAUUAGGGACUUUUAACAUAGAAAUUAAAGACUAUAUUUUGCUUUGAAAAUAUUAAAUAAAGGAAAAAAUUGUUAAAAAAAAUAAUUUUAUUAUAUUUGGUUUUAUUAUGAAAAAUAUAAUUAAAAUUAGUUAGAAAUUUAUAUAAUUUUUAUAUAAAAAAAUAAGUGAAAUAAGUUUAAAAUAGUAUAUAAAAAUAAUUUAUUUAUUUUUAUUUUUAUUUUUUAAUUUUUUUUCUCUUGCAUUUUAUUUAGAUAAAAAAAAAAAUAAAAAAAGAAGAGAUAAGGAAAAGGAAAGUACAUAUGCACUUUCUUUCUACCAAUGAUGAAAAUAUCGAUAAUUAUGGAUAUAUCGGUAUUUUGAUUUUACGGAUAUAUUAAAAAUAUCGAUGAAUAUUUUUUUUCACAAAUAUGGGUGAAGAGAAACUUAUUUAAAAUUCAUAAAAAUGCUUUAAAAAACUCCAAGAAUUGAUAAAAUAAGUAAGAAUACGUAUUUUAUAUAUAUAUAUUUUAUAUUAUUCCAUAAAGUUGUGUUGAAAAUAUCAAUAUAGUUUUAAAAUUGCUAUUUGGAAGAGUUCAGAUGUGUGGUCUUUUAUAUCACAUCCAGAAAAUUGAGAGGAUGAGUCAUAGAUCACUAUCAAAAUCAUUGUAAAUCACGUGACUCCUUGAUACGUGGCUGGUUGCUGUUGGUUCACCUCUCCUACUUCUCCUACACCGUUUUGUAAUUUACUUUUCCUCAAAAUAUGUUCUAAGUUUUAACCACCUCGAAAAUCGUAUGUAAAACUUUCAUAAAUGAUUUAAAAAAGUAAUAACAUAUAUUAGGUUGAGUGUUUUUUUAAUAAAUAAUUUAAUAAUGAAACCCAUAUAAAAUAAAUGUUAUUUAAAUUAUUCCUUAUUUUAUAUUUUUCUAAAACUCAAUAAAUAAUUUUUUGUAAUGGUAUUUCUCAAAAAGUUUAAACUCCUUAAUUUCAAAUAUUAUUUUUCUAACCAUAAAUCAUCUUUGAAAUAAAUAUUUUAAAAAUGAUAGUUUGAUUUAUCAUUUAAAUGUAAGUGUUUUAUAUAAAUUAUUUUAAAUUAACAUAAAAACUUUUUAGUUAUUAUUUGUUAAAAUUUUCGUAUUCUUUCAAAAGAGGAUAAAGUUCAUGUUAUUAAUUGUAUUUUUUUUUCUUAUUAUUGUGCUUUUUAUAUAAUAAUUUUUUUAAAUUGCAUGAAUAAAAAAAUAUUUAAAUAUAAAAUCUUAUAAAAAAGAAAUAAAAAUUUAUUAAACAACAAAUAUAAAUUUUUUGCUUUUAUAUUCUUUAUUAUUUAAAGUUUGUUUAUAUAGUUAUUGCACCAACAUUGGCAUGACGAUGGAUUGAGCAAAACAUUUCCAAUAACCUCUCAAUUAAUAUAAAGGAAAAGACAUAUUAAAAAGGAGGAAGAGAUCUAAAGAAGAGACAAGAGAAAAGACCGGAGCACAUCCUCUCCACCACAAAACUAAUAAGCAUCUUAUUCAAACAUAAGUUUGUCUUAUUCUAUCCAACGUCAUCAUCCAACCAAGGAAAUGCAUUAUUAUUAUUAUUAUUAUUUUAUUAAAAAAAAUAGAAAUUAAAGAAGAGACAAGGGAAAGGACAUAUGCAACCCCCUCCACCACACAACCUUGCCGUGAAGGGUGGUUUUCCCAAAACAGACUGUAAACGGAGCUUACAGCCAAAACUGUCAUAGCAUGGAUGUCAUUGUACUUACAUGGCAUGGAUGUCAUCAUAAACAUCAUGAAAAUUUAGUUUUAUUUCAUUUUUAUUUAUUUUACUCCUUUUUAAAAUAAAAAAAUUUUGAUUAAAAAAAUUAAAAUUUUAGCUGACAGAGAAUUUAAAAAUGUAUAUAACACACCAUUAAUAAUAUUAAUAUAUAACAUUAUUCAAUAUAAAUAAAAUGCUUUUAUAUAUUUAAUAGCAUAAUGCAAUGUUUUUUAUUUAUAAAUUCUAAAUAUUUUAAACACAAAUGUUAUUAUCAAAGAAAUAAAAAAAAAAUUACUAAAUUUUCAUUUAUACACUUCAUUUUGUCUAGUUUCCAAAAUAGAAAAUAAUAAUAACUUUUUAUAUAAAAUUCAAGAACUUUUAAAACUUUACAUUAAAAAGCUAAUAAUUUUUUAAAACUAUUUAAAAAAAUAAAGGUACUCAUAAAAAUUUAAUAUCUUAAAUUUAAAUUUUUUUGAAAGUUAUUUUUAAAAAUAUAAACUUGGUCUACACUUUUUGUAUAAGAGGAUUUUUUUUUUAGAAGUUCUUACUAUUUUUUUUUAAUUUAAAAAAAAACACCAAGAAGUAUGUUCAAAUGGACAUGAAAUUAUAAAUUAUCAAAUGAUUUUCAAAUAGGACUAAACAUGAGAAAGAUUUUCUAUAUAUAUAAAUAUUUUAUAAUAGGAAUGCAAUAUAUUUUUUAUUUUUAAAAAAAUGGAUGUUGAGAUGUAAUAAAAUUUCUAUAAUAUUUUUUUAUUCCUUUGAUAAAUUAAAUAUAAACAUGCAAUAAAAUAUUAUGUUGGAUUUAAUAUCUAAAAUACCAUUAUCACUUUAGAUAUAAUAUAUCAAGAUUUGAUUAUGUUAUGUCUUAUUUUGUCAUGUUCAACCAAUCAAACUUAAAUUACCUUAUUUAAUGUUUUUAUCCAUCAAUUAAAUGCAUUACAUGGAUAGGCAAAAUGGAACUAAUUAGGCCACGUCAUAUAUGUAAUUUAAGUUUUAUCACAUUAUUUUAGUACUUUGUACCUCAAAUAUGAUUUUAGUAUUUUGUUCCUUGACCUCAUUCUCGUUAGCAUCCUCAAAGCUCUAAAUUUUAUCAUAAACUUUGAAUGACAGCUUGGAUUUGAACUUCAAUAGGUGUCAAUUUGGUACCUUAGACUUUUUCGGACCUUAAAAACAUAAAAGAAAAAUAAAAUUUUAAAUAAUGAAUUUAAAGGAAAAUGAUACCUUUGAUCUUAAUUUGAAGAAAAAGAAUAAAAUUGAAAGAGACAAAAAAUUAAAAUAUGAAGAAGGAAAAUAGGAAAAUGAAAUUUAUUAUCAUUUUUCAUCAUUUUUUGUUUGAUCUUUUAUUUCUUCAUUUUUUUUUUGUAUUUAAAUAUAAGAAAAUCACAUUCCUUAAUAUUAUUUUCUUAUUUCUUUAAUAUUUUUAAAAAAUGAAACUGUGGACUCUGUAUUUUUCACGUGCGUCCUCAUUCGUUGGCGAGAUUCGCUUUAAAUUUAUUUAUUUAGUGAAAAUUUGAUUUUUUGAGAAAGACUUGGAGUUGUCACUUAUUUUUAUUUUAUUUUUUAAGGGAAAAAUAGAAUAAGAAAUAAAAACCCUAAAUGUGACUCUUGAAUGAAAAACAGGUUUAGGAAAAACCGAAUUUGGAUUCGGGGGUUAGGUUACCUAUUGGGAAGGUAUGGUAAUGAGCCGUAGCACCCCUCUAACCCCGUAUACAUACGGUCUCUACCAAACAAAUUAAGAGAAUUGUAACAAUUAAUUAAUUAAUCAUGUAUGCCAAGAAAAAUAACGUAUAAGUCAUGCUAAAAAUCAAUAUACACAAAAAUAAUGAUGAAAUCUAAUUAAAAGAAUACACAAAAUAAAUAACAGGAGAAUUAUACAAAAUGAUUUAUUUAAAUAAAUAAAUAAGAUAUUAAAAAAUAUUUUUUUCAAGAAAUUUUAAAUGAUUUUAUUAAAAAAAAUUUUGAAUGAGUGAUUUCAAUUUAUUUAUUUACAAAAAAGAGUCAAUUUAUUUUCUCAAUUUCAUUUGUAUUCAAUUUUCAGAAAAUUUAUUUACAUUUGUUGUAUUAAAAGAAUUUAUUACAAAAUUUCAAUUUUGAAACAAAAAAAAUAUAUUUUUACUUGCUUUAAAAAAAAAAGAACUUUUACAAUUUUAUUUACAAAAGUAUUUGAAUUUGUUUUCAUUUAAGAAAAGUUAUUUAUACAAAUUAUUAAAUAUAUAUAUAUAUAUAUAUAACUUUAUUUGCAAAAGAAUUUUUAAAUAAAAAUUAAUUUUUUGAACAAUUUUAUUUACAAAACAAUUUUUAGACAUUUUUUACUAAACAAAGAAUUUUUUAGACAAUGAUUAUUAAAAAACAAUUUUUUAAAUGCUAUUAAAAACAUUUUUUUUUAUUUUUCUAAAAGCAUUUUUUUGAAUUUUUAUUAAUAAUAAUAAAAAAACUUUCUUUUACUUAGAAGAAUAUUUUAAAAUUAUUAUUUUAUUAAAACAUAUUUACUGAAUUAUUCUUUUUAUUUAAACAAAAUCUCUUAUUUGUUCGAAAUUCAAUUAUGUAAACACUCAAUAAAUAUUUAUAAAAACUAAUAAAAAUAAAAUCAAAUAAAACUGGGAAAUAAAAUGUGUACCUAAAUAAGCUUACAACAAGUUCAAUGUCUUCCUACAACUUUUUUAUUCUCACUUUCUUUCAUGGAAUUUCGUACUCCACGGGUCAUAAAUUUGCACUUAGCCAACAAAAUUGCAGAAUAGGUACAUGUAAAAACAAAAAUAGCCCAAACGUAAAUAUCCAAAGAUGUACAAAAUCUCAAACAAAUAUUCAAACCAAAAUUUAAAUUUUAAAUUAGUCUCAUAAAUUUCGUUAAUUAAAAUGAACCCAAAUUACUAUAGGUUUUAGCCUAAAAUAUUCAAAUUAAUAACCAAAAAUACAAACACAAUCAACCAAACCUAAACCGGGAAGGAGAGUACCUCAACCGGGAAGGGAAGGUUACUGGAUGAGAGAAAGUGUUUUUGAUACUCCUCGACUAGACCUUGACCGAACAAGGGCAACCGAUCAAUCAGUUUCUUGGUCGGUUGAGUCGGUUGGCCAGUGCCUUGACCGGUUUAGCCUUUUGGCCCAAAAAACCUAUCUUUUUCGGUUCUUUUCCUUUCCAAAACUUAGGCAAGGUCUUUAGGUAAAUUAAUAUGUCAAUUUUGAAAUGUUUUGUCUAAGGUAUAUUUGCUAAAACUCGAGUUUUAAUGAAAUUAUAACUUUAAAGAAUAAAUCGAAUUUUCCAAAGAUCCAUAAAAAGAUAUAUAAAACCUAAGUGCACCCAUGUAUUCAUCUUACAUUUGUUUUCGAUGAUUAAAAGUCUUCCAAAUGUGUCGAUCUUGUAUCCAUUUGAUUUUUUGAUGAAUUUUCAAAUUUACACCUAAGAUUCUUUACUAUUCAAACCAAUUAGUCACUUAACCAUGAUUUGUUAUCAUCAAAACCUAAUUAGGAGAAUCAUUGAGCUAACAAUUACAAAUUCGGAAGGUAUCGAAUUUAUACCUUAGGAGUUCCUUUUAUUAAAUAUACAACAAGAGAUGAUAUAUAGAACAUAGAAAGUGAAUUAUUUUAGGGAAUGUUAAGAAUUUUGAUACACAUAAUACAAAUUACUUAAAUAUAAAAUCGUAUCAAGGAUAAAUAUAAAUUUAUUAAACAAAAACUACAAAGUUUAUGCUUUUAUAUAUAUAUAUGUUGCUAUUGGCUUGAACAUUGGCCUCGCAAUGGACUAAAUAUUUCACUUUGACAAAAGUUUUUCGUGACCACUCAAUUAAUAAAGGAAAAGACACAAUUAAAAUAAAUAAACAAAAGAAAAAAAGAGUUGUGCACCUUCUCCCCACCAUACAACUAAUAAAUUCUAUCAUAUUUGACUCAAUGGUGUUAUCCGUACUUCCCAACAUGGGUUGGCAAAAUAUAUUAGGGACUUUUAACAUAGAAAUUAAAGACUAUAUUUUGCUUUGAAAAUAUUAAAUAAUGGAAAAAAUUGUUAAAAAAGAUAAUUUUAUUAUAUUUGGCUUUAUUAUGAAAAGUGUAAUUAAAAUUAGUUAGAAAUUUAUAUAAUUUUUAUAUAAAAAAAUAAGUAAAAUAAGUUUAAAGUAGUAUAUAAAAAUAAUUUAUUGAUUUUUAAUUUUUUUUUCUCUUGCAUUUUUUUUAGAUAAAAGAAAAAAUAAAGAAAGAAGAGAUAAGGAAAGGGAAAGUAUAUAUGCACUUUCUCUUCACUAAGGAUGAAAAUAUUGGUAAUUAUGGAUAUAUUGGUAUUUUGAUUUUACGGAUAUAUAAAAAAUAUUGGUGAAUAUUUUUUUCACUAAUAUCGUUGAAGCGAAAAUUAUUUAAAAUUCAUAAAAAUGCUUAAAAAAACUCUAAGAAUUGAUAAAAUAAGUAAGAAUCCGUAUUUUAAAGUUAUUUUAUAAAUAUAAUUGAUAUAAAUAUGAUCAAGAAGAAAAAUAUCGGUAGACAGAGAUAUAUCGAUAGAUUUGAUAUUUGAAUUUUAAGAAUAAUAAAUAUAAAUUUUGGAAGUGUAUAAAGUUAAGAAAUAUUUGAUUUUAUUAAAUAAAAACAAUUUAUAUGUAAAUAUAAUGCAUAUGACAUUGCAAUAGUCUUAUUAUUAAAAUGAAAAUCAAUAUGAUUUUAUCAUAUUAUUAUAUAAAGGGAUCCUAUCUUGUUGAAGAUAAUAUUUAUUUUAAAAAUUUUAAAAUAUUUUUUUAUUAAAACAUGUUUUAUUAUAUUUUAAAUAAAAAAUUAAAUUAAUUUAUAUAACAUAUUUUAUUUGAGAUUUAAUUUCUAAAAUUUUAUUAAAAAUAUGUGAUAAUAAUUUUUUCUAUUAACAUUAAUUUAUUUAAAUAAUUAAAAUUAUUAAUAAUUUAUCUUAUCAAAUUAAUUUUAAUUUAUAAAAUAUCAUCGAAAAAAGUCGAAAUUUCGUAGUGAUUUAAUCAAAAUAAUGAUGCAUAAUUAAUAAUUAUUUAUACAGAGGGUGGAAACUUGUUCUCAUGAUUUGUUUCUUUUUAAAUCUCUACUAAAUUUAAAAACCGAAAGGGCCACUCACUUCUCUCACUCGGGCAUCAAGAAGCCCUUAUCUGAAGUUGCCUUCCAGACGAGAGAAUCCCUAAAAAGACCCUGUUUUCCUCUGCCACUCUCAAUCCUCGCAGGUUCUAAUCUAAUCAUGUUAUUUUUUUUUUUUGCAACCCCCGUUUGAUUCCCAAGAAAAUCCAUCCCCAUUCGAUUUCAGGGAAAAUUCAUCCUCGUUUGAUUUUCGAGAAAAUCCAUGCAAAACCCCCAAGGAAAACCAAAAGCAUUGCUAUUUUUUUUUGCUCCCUGUGUUUUCUGGAUAAGUUCUAGGGGUCUUUUUGCUUUUGUGCCAUUCGAUUUAAAUUUCAUGAACCCUAAAUCCACGAUUUUUGAGCCAGGCUGAAAAACACAACCUUUGCCUGCAAAUCAUGAUUAGAUUACUAAAUAGCAUCUUAUGUUUUUGUUCUAAAAAAAAUUGGACAAAUUUUGUAUCCUGUGCGCGGGUCGGGCUGGUUGGAAAUAUCGGGAAAUUUCCCGAAAAAUCGGUAAAAAUACCGAUAAGUACCAAAAUAUCGGCGAUAUUUUCGAAAAUUACCGAAAUUUCCGUCGACCGAUAAUCGGUGACGAAAAAUUUCGACAUUUCAAUCCUUGGUCUCCACCACUCAACUUCACGGUAAAGGGGACCACAUUUGCUUUAUUUAAUGGCAAAUUUUAGAUCAUCUCUAUAAGACUUUUUUCAUUUAUCUCAACAAUUCUUUGAAGUGCUUUGUUAUUUUUUAAUUUCUAUCUUCCGAAAACACAUCUUCUUUGGAUUAUCAUCUGGUAUCAUAGUCAAGUUGAUCAGAUGGUUAUCUCAAUCCAACCUACCAUCCCAUUUUUUGAAGGAAAUGGAUAUGAUACUUGGAGCAUAAAGAUGAGGACUCUUUUUAUCUCCGAAGAUCUGUGGGAGCUUGUGGAUAAGGGUUAUGUAGAAGAGGAAAUUCCAAGAGAUGCUAUGAGAGAUGUACGAAAGAAUGAUGCCAAGGCAUUGUUUUUUAUUCAACAAGCAAUCUCGGAGAGUAUUUUUCCUCAAAUUUCGAAGGCAAUGAAGUCUAAGGAAGCAUGGGACAGUUUGCAAACAAAAUAUCAAAGCACAAGCCUGGUACUUGCAUUAUUGAUUAGUUACAAUGUAUUGAAUUUUUAGAUUCAGUCAAAUAAAGUAAUAUUUAUAUGUUUUGUAAGAUUGGAAUGUGUAAGAUUCAGUCAAAUUUCUUGGGUGCUUCUAACAACAGUGCAGAAUUGAUGAAUUAACUCGGGUUCUGAUUUGAAUUAGGAUGCAGCUCAAGAUGGAGAUGGUAGCCAAACUGACAUCCCUCUCAUGGAUGACUCUGUGUAUGAGGCAGCAGCGAAGGGCGACAUUGAAGCUCUGAAGAAAAUUCCAGAGUCCGAAUUUCAUGCCCAAUUAAGCCCAAAGCAUAACACAAUACUCCAUAUUGCAAGUGAAUUCGGUAAAAUAGAGUGUGUGAAUUGGAUCCUUGAUUUUCCCUCAUCUUCAUCUCUGCUGCGAUGCCCUAAUUUGAAUGAGGACACUCCCCUUCACCUUGCAGCAAGGGAAGGGCAUUUGAAGGUCGUGGAAGCUCUUAUAAAUGCUGCAAGAAAACCUACACUAGAUAUUGAAACUGGGCCUGGACCACAUAAGGUUAUGCUGAGGAU